rnacentral:lncRNA from 1 species
AUGAGAGGAGAGGAGAGGGGAGGGGAGGGGAUUAAAGGAGAGGGUUUAGGGGGGUUUUAUAUAUAAGUAUAUAGGAGAGGGGAGAGAUUUAAAUUUCGAAGCUUUAAAGAGUGAGUUUUAAGAGGAGAUUUUUUUUUAGGAUAGGGGUUGUUGAGACUUUUUUUCCUUUAUUUUUGUGAAACAGAUUUUUGAAAUUCAGAUGGGGAUGGGUCGGAUUCGGGUUCGCAAUUGGGUUUGGAUUUGGAUUCAAUGAACAAAAAUUAGAUCUUAUUCAUAACCUAUUAUUUGUUUAAAAUAAAUCAUUAGAAGUUGUCUCAGGAGUUUUGCUAGGAAUUUUGAAACUAAUCCUUGAAUUUUAAUGGUUUAAUAUUUGUUUAAUAUUUCGACCCGUUUAUUAAAUAACUUAGCAUAAGAACGAAAUCACCGUUUCGGAGCAGAAAAUUUUGAGUUUAAAUCAUUUUCAAGCUCGAGUCACAUUUAAUUUCUUCUAACUAAAAUUCAUUAAAAUAUCACGAUUAUAAAUUUAAACUAUUAAAAAUAAAAUAUUAAAAUACUGUUCUCUAGCAAAUAUACACACACAAAUGGGGCGGGAGGGCCCCAACCUCCGGAUUUGGGACGGAUUAAUUUUAAUUCUAUUUUUAAACUCCACUUUCCACUCCAUUGAGGAUAAUGCGAAGCGGAGACAAUUUUUUAAAGGAUCAAAAUGGAUUAAAGGAAGAAAAAGUCUCUUGCCUCCCGCUCCAUUUUCUUGGCGAAUCCGGACGAAUUCGAAACGAAUUAUGUUAAAAUCCGGACGAAUUCGAAACGAGUUAUAUUUUUCUAUAUUUUAGGUUCUCGCUCGUCGCUCCAUUUAGAGCGGAUCAGAACAGAAGCUCUACCGACCCGGAUCCAUUUGAUAAACUAGAAAUAGGAUACAAUGGAUCUAGGAAAGAUUCAAUAAACAAAAAUGAGGAGUUCCAAAAUUGGGGACUAGAGGUGCAAUUUAUCCAAAAAGAAACAAGCAAAAGAGGAGGAAACCAUACAAAUUAUAUCAAUCUACACUUCUACAAUGACUUGAAGAAAAGGGAAAAAGAGAUGCUGGUUCUUGAAGAUGUAAAGAAUUACAAAGCAAAGGUUUAAGGAUGCAGUUCUUUUCUGUGAAAAAGUGCGACUCCGAUGAGUCUUGCAUUUCCUAGAUUAAUCGCCGGUAGGGGACGCGACGAAGAAAUUUACGAUUUUGACUUCAACUUCAACUCUGCAUCUGAUGAAGGAAACACUCUGCCGCGGUGAUUGAAGAUCAUGAAGUCGAGGUUCGUUGGGAGCGAAACGAUCCUGCAUUUCAUUUGCCAGUUCAUUAGCGAAAGAGCGCGAGAGAGAGCUCUACACAAAUACAGUUUCAAUCAAUUGAUACAACCAAAUAUUCCGACAAUUGCAAGUAUGAAUGAAAUAAUUCAGGCAGGCUCCCGACAAGUAUUGCAGAAAUAAAAUUCUGACUUAAUUCCGCAGCAUUUUGAUGGCCGUAUUGUCGGGAAUACCGAUCUCGAAAUCACUAUGUGAGCCUUUUUCUUGGGAAAUGGGUUUACUUUAGAGCACAUCUCUAAGCAUUUGGACAUGGGAUGUGGAUUCUUUUUAUCUACUCAAAGUACACCAGUGAGAAAGGCAUUAAGCGCCAAAUCUCGACUAGGCUUUGACUAUAGCAUGUCCUCCGAAAACAGUCGAUGGAGAUAUGUAAGUUCAAAAAUGCACCACAAUAUUUGGCACCUCCUGUGCACUCAUUACAACAUACUGCUCCGAGAGAGAACAAAAGGGCUGUCCCGACAAUAUGUAAUUGUUGUUGUGGUGUUUUGUGCAAUUAUUUUGCAAGAAUUAUAUACAAGCUGGUUCAGAACACAAACUCACUUGCGAGAGAAUACGCACUUGAAUAUGCGAUGCACUUAGCACAAGAGAAAGUAAAACUUUCUAUGCCACAAAAAGAGAUGCAACAUCAGAAAAUGAGGCGAGUUUAGACCAAGAGCUACUCUGUCUCGUAUUUUCAAUCCUAUUGAAUGCAAACAUUGAGCAUACUAAUAAUAGGCAAUAGCAUAAUCAGACAAGUUACAUAUUGUAAUUCCGUAAGAGAAUGUCUGAACGUGAGAGUAAGGAAAAGUCCUCUGAUCCAGUUUAAGUAGAGAACGCGAACCUCAGCCACUUUGUACAGUAGCUGCCAUAUAGAACAACGGAACCUACAUCAAAAUUUGUUCGAACAUAGCAUCCGAGAACUCUCUGCUAGCGUCGGCAAUUCUAGGAAACGAUCUAGCAGCGAGUUUUCACACAUGGGAGGCUUUAAUCCGACAAUUGAAGAAAGGAAAAAAAAAAAAAAAAGAGGAUCAAAACACCCCAAAAUUCAAACAAAAAAAAGUGUAAUUCCGAAAUUGGAUGGACAGAAGAAUGAUUAGGAAGAUACCACGCGUCGAUGGUGAAAAGAUGGAGAUAACAAGGAGAAGCAAUGUGAGAAUAAGAGAGAGACCGGAUGGAGAGAUACCGAAAGCAUAUAACGCACUCCCUAAGUGUUUUGAUUUCUUAAGUUUGGAGAAAUGUGCUUUACUAGAUAGAAUACCAAAUCCAACCUUAAUGAAAAAAAAAAACUAUGCAGUAACAACAACGAGUUAUUGAUAUAUAUAUAUAUAUAAGUCGAUCUGUAUUGACGUUCUGAACGAACCCCUCGUACUGCGUUCCUAAAAAAACCAGCGUACCAUGUCUCUCCGUACAGGUACCAUGUAACAUUGAUCUCAUCAACUAGCUUACACGUAAUUUAAAACCGGCACAAUAUCAUCCUAAGUAACUGAUAAUAACUUCUCACUAACACAUAAUACUCAAAACCACUAUCAUACAACACCCGGUCGCAAACUCGAAAAGUUUUCCUUCUUCAACUUCCACCUCAAUCCACAAACUAGAAGUGAAGCUAUUUUUAAAUAAUUUCACACAAGAAUUGAUUAAUCAUGUACAAGAAGAAGCUAAAAUUGAAAAAAAAAAAAAAAAAAGGAGAAAAGAAUACCUGUUUUCAUCUGAAUCAGGGAGGAUGGAGAGGAAUUUUGUGGGCGCGGCGAGCCCCGCCCACAUGCAAAGGGCUAACCCUAGAAGCAACUCCACCACCACCUACAGUACAUAACACACAGAGAUCCACCAUUACGAAAGAUCGAAAAAAGGGACGAAAUUGUAGAAAAUUAAGGAAAUAAAAAAGAGGACUCAGAAAUUCAGAACAAAAUUUGGAUUUUUGACAAGUUGGUUUCGGAAGUAGACGAGAAUCCCCAAAUAGCCAAAUCCAAAAAGAGGCGAAAUUAGAGAAAUACUUGUACUUGGAGAAUAAUAAUAACUCCAAAAUUAGGGGGAGAAAAGUUGGGAUUUUGAGACCAGUAGGAUCACACAACUAUCCAAAUAUUAAAAACGGGGCAAAAUUGUUGAAAUAUUAAGAGAAUAAUAACUCAAAAUUAUGGAAAAAGGUGGGGUUUUGAGAGGAGUGGGAUCACACAUACAUUCAUGGGAGGCCCCGAGAACUCUUCCUCCACGAUCUUGAGCAUCCCUCGAUCUAUUACGCGACGAAAUCGAUCCAAAAACAAAAAUUAGACAUCAAAACAAGGGGGAAAACAAAGAUUAAUCGCACCAACUGAUCCGAUCCGAAGAUUAGGGUUUAGAGGGGGGAGGAGGUUACACUGGAUGGUGGCGUAGGCGGCGUGGGCGAGGAUUAAGCCGCCGAAUACUCCCAAUGCGAAUCCAAAUCCCAUCUCUCACCCCUCCCCCCUCCUCUCUCUCCUCCUCCUCGUGGAUUCGAACUAGGGUUUGCUUCGGGAUUCGAUCGGGGAGAGAGAGAAAGAGAGAGAGAGAGAGGAGAGAGAAACUCAAAUUGACAAGGUAAAAUUUAUGGAGACCCCCUCGGUUAUAGCUCAUUCUGAAAUUGCCCCACAACCACUUUUUAAUUUGCGUAAUCACGAUAAUUCCAUCAAAUUCAAUAGUUUAAAAUAUUUCAUGUGAAUAAAACUAGAUUAACUAGCUCCUGAUAAUAGCUUAUUGCGCCAUAAAAUUCAACGAUAAUUUUUAACUUAAUUAACUACAAAAACUCAAAUAAAAAAAUUAUAAAUUAAGUGGAUAUCAAUAAAUAAAUAAAUAAAUAAAUAUUUCACAAUGGCCUAUAUUCAUAGUUGAGGGGGGGUCUCCCUACAUUUCAUUUUAUACAUUAGAGUUGUAAAACAUAAAUCACAGUACUGUAACAUUAUAUAUAUUUUUGUUCUAAUUGAUUUUAUUAGUAUUAAAUUUCGAGUUCGAAUCAUGUCAGGCUCCAUUUGCUUAAAUCUGAUACGACGCUCGUAUCGUUUGUUGUGCACACCGGCCUAUCAUUGGGCUCGAAUCCGGUUGGGUUCCCAAAGGCCAAAGCCCGAGUUAGGCCCCAACGGAUUUCACUUAACGGGCUGAGAUUCGGCCCGCUAAGUUUUUCGAAAAUACACAAAAUAAACAAUGAUAACUUUGCACACAAAUUUUCACAACAAACAUAUUUGCCUUUCCGCGAAGUCGAGUGAACCGCGACAAAUUAAUCCAUUAAGCGAAAUCCGAAAGCUAUUUUUGAACUAAACUUCGAGUUUCAGAAGUGAAGAGUUGCAAGCGAGUAAGCAGGAACAGCGCAACCAAAUAAAUAUAUCGACUCGGAGGAGAGUUUAUCUACAACGGAACACUAACCAUGAACUUAACAAUCCAAUUUCAGCAUAUAUCGAGAUAAUACGCUGGAAUUUACAACCAUCUAAGUACUAAUUCACGCGAGUUUAUACGACUGAUCCGAAUGUUUUCUCGCUGCUGUAGCACAUGUAGAGGAAACCGUCGUCGUCUUUGUACAUCCCGUAUAUCGAAUCCAUCAGGCUUGCUGCGGAACAAGAUACCAAAGAUGCAUCAGAACUAAACUUGCCGAUCCAUAACAUGAGCGGAAAUUGAACACACCUGUUUGAGGCAGAGUAUUCUUCACAAACACAAAAAGUGCUUUUCCCGGCGAAAGAUGUAGCCUGCUGCUUAAGAUGUGGAUGAACUGGCCGACCGACAUGUCGCGGGGAACCAGAAAUCUGCGAUAGGGUGUUGCAUUGUUACACAGUAAGAAGUAAUUUGCUAAGUUUAGUUGGUUUGUGAGAAAAAUGUAGCGCAACGCAAAUGACUAAAUUAUUACUCGAUCCAUGAGCUCUCUCUACAACAUAGCGUAGGAAGCGAAAACUGAUUAAAUCGUCAAACAUGAACAAGUAACAUAACUCCAUAACAGUAAACAUAAGUACAUGGAUUUCGUUCAUCUUUUUCCUGCAUUGCGCACAGAAGCUAAGUAAUCUACACGAAACAUAAUGACUAGCGAUAUGCCAGCGGUCGGAGCAAUUGCGACAAAAGCAGCAGGACAACAGAUGAGGAUAAUAAGUUCUACCAAUUCGAAGUAGCAACGUACCUUUUCUUUUCCAUCUCCGGAAGAUCAGCCCUCGAAAAUCUUUCAACAAUAACCUUCGAGAAAAGAAAACAAGAAAUCUUUAAAAACAAUCCUUAACUGAGGAUUGGAAAAUGAUAUAAAAUUUUGAGGUACAUUGCACAUCUAGCAAACCAAACUUUGAUAAAAGUUGCGCGUGAAUGCCUAUUAAUAAGAUAUCGAAUUGGUUGAUAAGGUGGUGGCUAAGAGCAUCAUGCUUCUCCGAUGAUAAAAGAUGCAGUUACAAACACGUCAAUGAAGAAGCAUUUAGCCACAUGCUUCUACGAUGGUAGUUGUAACCGCAGUUUUACCGUAUAAAAGAACGAACGAUUGAAAGUGGUUUCAAAUUUUUUUUGGAUCUUUCAUCGUGUAAAAAGUGUUUUAGAACCUAUUCACGCCGCAAAAGUGUGAAAUAGGACUUAGCAUAUGACGAUUCAGGGGCCUCGACUUUCCAUAACAACGCUCAUUUUAACAGCAAAUACACAUCUCAUCGAAGCUCAUUUCAACCAAUUUGAUACAUUUAUAAAAUUCUGCGCAAAAUUUAAUUUAAUCACCUUCCUAACAACUCUUAGCAUCAUUUAUUUUUUUUUUUUUGCUUUUAAACAACUUGAAAUUAUUAGCAUUGUGUGGAAACUUUGUAUUAGUGCUUCACACUCUUGUAAUGCUUAGUACUAUUUUUUUUUUUUGUUUUAUCGCAACUAAAGAUUACAACUUUGAAUCGUAUGUGGCAAAGAUUGAUUAAAUCCGCUUGAGAUAGCAAUUAAUUUACAGAAUAAUUUCCAAAAAAAAGGAAAAUUAGGAGAGAAAAGAGGAGAAAUUAACAUACGGGGACUCGAUCGGGAUACUUCGCGAUGAUGUCCUUAGAUUCCUUCACCCGCUCCUCUGCCACAGAUCAAACGAUUCCCACAUAGAUCAACAAAAACGGAGCGAAAAAAAAAAUCUCAAAAAAACUCAGAAAAUGGGGGAAAAAUCUCAUAUUUGCUGCAAAAGGGGAAAAAAAAUCUCAAAUCUGCAGCAAAAAAGAGAUAAACCUCACAUUUGCAGGAAAAAAAACACUCAAAAAAGGGGAAAACAUCAAAUUACAGCCAAAAAAACCCAAAAAAAGGGGAAAAUCAAACGAAAUCGAAUGGGAGAUGCGGAGAAUGAUGACGAACCGAAGGUGAACAUCUCCUUGAAGGGUCGGAUCUGCUUCAUUGUGCUUCGAAUUCACAAGAGAGAGAGAGAGAGGGAGAGAGAGUGGAGAGAGAUUAGGGUUUCGAGCUAGGGUUUUUUUUAUUUUGCUUUUUCAGAUUCGGAACGGAAAAAGACGAUUAUUGGUACGGACCUAUUUCGGUACACGUGGACCAAUCAAAAAAUCGUCUUUUUCUUUUUUUCGCGCCUCAAUAUUUCGUACUGAGGGCACGUCGCAUUUAUUUGUUUGGGGACAGGGAAUUGAUUGGGCCAUUGAUUGUGACCCCACCCACUUAUUUAUUUUAAUAUUUUUUUUUAGAAAAAACUUUAAAUAUCUUUCUCGUAGUUUCGCACUUUGUCACUUUACUAUCAUGUGAUUUCAAGUGUAUCAAGUUAAUACUCUGUAGUUUCGCACUUUUUCACUUUAGUACCCUGUGAUUUCAAGUGUAUCAAGUUAGUAUCCUGUGGUUUCGUAACUUUCUCACUUUAGUACCAUGUGAUUUAAUAUUUUGUUAAAUUAUAUAUCCCGAAAUGAAUAAUAAAAAAAAAAAAUUAAAACCACAGAAUACUAGCUUGAUAUAAAAAUAAAAUUACAGGGUACUAACUUGAUACACUUGAAACCGCAGGAUACUAAAGUGAGAAAGUAUGAAACCACAUGAUACUAACUUGAUAUACUUAAAAUCACAUGAUACUAAAGUGAAAAAGUGCGAAACCAUAGGGUAUUAAGAAUUUUCCCUUUUUUUAUUUUGAAAAAAUACAUAUAGAUCCUUUUGGCUACAAUAUCCAAACUUUAAUAAAUUAAAUAAUUUUUUAUACAUUUUAGAUAUAUUUUAAUUUUGAGAUAAUAUGUACAAUACCAAAAUCUUUAGCAUUUUGGCGAAUAGGUAUGUGAAGUUUUUAUUUUUAUAAUAAAUUUUUAUUGGGGAAAACUUCAAAAACCCCCCCUGUGGUUUCGUGCAUUCUCACUUUGCUACCUUGUGGUUUAAAACGUAUCAAUUUAUCCCCCUGUGGUUUCAUUUUUAUCUUUUCGGAAGCUUUUUCGUUAAUAUUUCGUUAAAUUAUAUACAAAAAACUUCAGAUAACCAUCUAUAUUUAUCGAAUAGUCACUUUAGUAUCCUUUAAUUUUAACUUUGUCACUGAUUUUAAAAAAAAAUAAUAAUACAAUUGAUAACAAAAAGAUAAAAACGAAACCAUAGGGGGGCAAAUUGAUAAGAUAAAAACGAAACCAUAGGGGGGCAAAUUGAUACGUUUUAAACCACAGGGUAGCAAAGUGAGAAUGUACGAAACCACAAGGGGGGUUUUUGAAGUUUUCCCUUUUUAUUGCUUGAGCGAAGCUAUUAAUUCAACAAUUAUUUUGAUCGCAUAUUUUAUAUAUAAUUAUGUAUAACUUCAAAAUACAAAAAAAAACUUACUUUUUAUCUUCUAGUUUCAAUAAUUAGGAUGAAUCUAUUGCUUUCUUUUUAUGUAUUAAAAUAGAAAAUUGUAUAUUUUUUUUUAUAUUUUAAAACUUGAUAAGAUUUGCGAGUACCAAAUUAAACGACGUAUAUAUAUUUAGUAACUUUGACUAAACUAAGCUUGGUGUUGGAUUAAGCUUAAAAGUUUAGGACUUUUGUGGAGUAUUACAGUGUCGGUGUUUGCUCGUCGUUUCUUUAUUAUCUUCGUCUUUGCUCAUUUUAUUUAUUUAGAGAUUUACAUAUAUAAUGAGUCUAAGCUUUAUAAUAAUAAUAAUAAUAAUAAUAAUAAUAAUUGUUAGGUCGAAGGUCGCGACAAAUUUAUUAUUAUUAUUAUUAUUAAAAGAAUAAUUUUUUUAACUUUUUCUUUGUUUAGGUUUGUGAACCUUCUUUUAAUGCCUUUUUUUCUUUUUCCUAAGACACCUGCAUAUGUAAAUAAAACCUACUUACAACCAUUUCCUCACCAAAAAAAAAAAGGAAAAAAAAAAACAGAACUUAUUUUGUCAAAACAAAAAAAAAAGGCUAAAUUACAGAUUUUUUAUAAAUACUAUUUUUUUACUUUUUUUCUGUAACUUUUAAAAACUUAUAUUUUACCCACUCAAUAUUUUAAAUUAUUACAUUUAGCCCCCUCUCCAUUAUGGUUUCGUCACUAUUCCGUUCAUUCCUUAUAAUUUAUACUUAAAAUAUCUUCAAAAUAAUAAAAAUAUAUUAAAAAUUAUUUUUUUUAUAGAAAAAGUAAAGAUUAUUCGAUCAUUAUUUUAUUUUUAUUAACGCCGUACCUACCCGGAUAAAUUUUUUUCUAAAAUUUUUAAGAAAAUAAAAGAUAAAAUUUUAAAAAAUAAAAAAAUAUUUAUAAAUUUUUUUUUUGAUUUAUUUGCCAAAUAACAAAAAAAAAAAAAAAACCUGAUACUCCAGUCUUCAUGGAUGAGCCAUAAAAAAAGUGCAGUCUGCUCACCAGACUAGAAGCUGAAACUUUUAGUCCAACAUUGCAUGCUCCAUGCCAUCCCCGUCGCCGUCGUUGUCGUUGUCGUCGUGACCCCCUCGCUCUAUCAAAUAUCAACAACUUCUGAUUCUGAUGCCUGAAUAACUAAAAUUUUCAAGCAACAAAUACUGUAGACAUAUUUGGUUCGCUUCUUUUUACCAUAAAAUCGGAAUCGGAAUCGGUGAAUUUGUUGUGAGUAUUUGGUAUGCGGGAGUUUCAUUCUAAUGCCAAUUUCCGAGUGGAAUGAGAAUCCUCCCGGUCAUCUUUUUUUUAAGCCGGCUUAGGAGCCGGAUUUUGAAUUGAAUCCGGACGGAAUGAAUAUUUAUUCGGAUUAAAUUUAUUUUUUUCAACUUUUUAAUUAAAAUAUGAGUUAAAAUUUAAAAAUUAAAUAUAUAAUUUUAAAUUUUAAUUUGAGGUUAAUUAAAAAUUAAAAUUUAAUCAAGUAUUCGAAUCUAAUUUAUGAAUUUGAAUUUGAAUUAAAUUUUAAUUUAUAUAAAGUUUUAUUCAAAUUUUAUUUCAAACUUAAAUUAAAUUUAUGGAUUCAAAUUAAAAUUUAAAUUGUAAUUUUAAGUUUGGAAUUUGAAUAAAUCAAAAUUUAGUUUCAUAUUUUGAAUUAUCCACUCAAUUUCAAAGUUUAAUUUUUUUUAAAAAAAUAGAUUUAAAUUUUGGCAGUAUUUCAAAAUUUUGAUAUAAAUUUUUAAUAUUUAAUAUUUAAUUUAAAUUUAAAUUAAUAUAUUAUAAAGAUAAUGUUAGUAUAUUAAUUUGAUUACGUUUUUUAUAUCCACCUGAACCAAAUACUGAUAAUGGGAAUGAUUUAUUCUGAUUCCGAUUCAGGUAAUGAACCAAACAAAAUUAGGUAAUGAGUCAUUCCAAUUCCGAUCCCAGUUUAUUUUGAUUCCGAUUCGGAUUCCAACUCCGACUUUGAGCCAAACACGCCCUAUGUGUAUUGACUGCUUUUAUUGCAAAUGAUAAAAUAUUUAAUAGUUGGUAUUUGACAUUUCAAAAUAAGCAUAAUUUUUUACAUUUUCAACUAAAUUUAUUUUUUAAAAAUAAAUAUAACUGAUAGCUUAGAAAUAAAAAUAUUUUGUCGUACGUUUUUCACAUUGUAUACAAAUAAAAUAGCAAGACUUUUUUGAUAUAUUAAUUUAUUCCAAACUUGCUAUGUUAUUCUUUAUUAGACCUAGCUCUUUCAUGCCACGUGGCUCAAUGAAAUUGGAUAAUUUUUUUUGAAUAAAUUUGAAAUUUGAUUAACUAAAUACUCUAAAUGAAAAUUUUUAUUUUUGAAAAUUCGAGGCAGCCAAAUAAGGUGAUCUAAUAUAAAAACUCAUCUUAUAUAUCAUAUUAUAUGUAAAUUAAAUGUCGGUUGGUUCGACGUAAUUAUAAAUACAGUAUAUAGUUGAAGAUGUAUAUAUUAAAAAUACAAUAGUUAUAAUUAUAUACAUCUUAUUUGGUUGGAUAUAGUAAAAAAGCACUACGACUAUAAAUAUUUUGGUUGUUUGCAUGGGAGUAAAAAGUGUAAUUAUAAAUUUCUAUCUUUUUCUAUGUAUAGGGCGGUGAGAUUACGUACCCUUUGUACAGAAAAAGAAUAUUUGUUUAAAAAAAAAAAGAUUACUAGGGACGUAAAUUUGUUUUUGUUUAAAAUUAUUUUUUUCAAGUGCUACAAUUUCAAGUGCGGCUAAUUUCGGCGUAAUUCUAAGUGCUGCGGUUGAGCCUCAUUGUAUAGUUACAACUGCAGUAGUUGAACUUAAAUAUAUUAAAAUAAAUAUUGAAUUUGGCCUUGUAUAUAAUAAUUAUAACUGUAAUAUACUUGUAAUAACGAGUAAUGGUACAACAUCUAAGAAUCUGUGCGAGGAGGGACUGGAUCUGGAUACGGGGGCAGCACUAAAGAGCAUAUCACUUUGUGACACUUUUUAAAUUUUUUAUUUUUAUUUUUUAUUUUUUAUUUAUUUUUUUUGUGUGCAUGCAUGCAGUUGUAUUUGACCAAAUCAAUAUUUAUUUUGCUUGGUCAGCAAAUCAGGUGUGCUCACAUGGAAGUCUAAAAAGAUGUGCUGCACAGCUCAUCUACACCUUUGCCGGCGUAGUAGUAGCAUUAGUGCUAAUUAAUGCUGCAUGUAUAUAUUAUGCAUGAUGCUUUGCACACGCGCAAGGUGUGUAAACAUCUGAUAACAUUUUUGUGGUUUCGUAUUUUCUUAUUUUAGUAUUUUAUAAUUUAAAGUGUAUUGAGUUACUGUUCUGUGAUUUUAUUUUUAUCUUUUCGUCAGUUUUUUCAUUAACAUUUUAUUAAAUUAUAUAUAAAAAACUUUGGAUACUUCGUCUAGAUUUAUUGAAUAUUUACUUUGGUGUAUCCUUUAGCUUUAACUUUGUCACUGAUUUAACGAAAAAAAUUAAUGGAAUCGAUAGCAAUGAGAUGAAAACGAAACCACAUAAUACUAAAUUGAUACACUUUAAACCACAUGAUACUAAAAUGAGAAAGUGUGAAAUCAUAGGGUUGGUAUUUGAAGUUUUUUCAAAAAAAUAAUAACAAUAUCAUUAUUUUAAGAAAUAAGGGAUUAAUAAUCAAGCAAAAUAAUCAAGUUAUCAUGACUUAUUUUAUUAAAAAAAAAUUUAAUAUAUUUUUAUUAUUUUUAAAAAUAUUUUCAAUAUAAAUUAUAAGAAAUUGACGGAAUAGUGACGGAAGCUUGAAGGAGAGAAGCUAAAUAUAUUAACUUAAAAUUCUGAGGAAGCUAAUAUAAAUUUUUAAAAAUUAGAAAAUAAAAAUAAAAAAUACGAAGUAUUUACAAGAAGAUUUUUUACAUUUUAAUCUUAUCUGAAAUCUUAUCCCUACUUACUCUCACAGUCUCUUAAAUUAAUAUAUAUAAUAUACUAUAGUAUAUAUAUAUAUGAGUGCGGCUAGUAUGUUAUGGAACGCAUGGAGGCCUCCGUGCUUCUAAGUUGUUUUUAAUAUUGGGACUUUCGAAUCGACGAUCGCUCGUUAGACUUGAUCUAGAGUAUUGAAGUACCUAGAAAAUAAGUUUUGCAAUUUUCGAUAUCAUUUGCCUAGCGAUCGAAGGCCUCAAAAUCAAUGGCUGAAAAAUAAAAAUCUCACAAAAUGUGAUGAUAUGACAUUAAAAAUUUAGAUCAAGAUAUUGAUCUUAUUUUAUAUAUAAAAAGAUUUUCUAAUUAAAAUUCACGUGAUUUGGAUAUUUCUACACCGUUAAACUUGUACCGGCUCACCACGGCCAUUAAAAUUUUUAAUUUGAGCCGCUCUCUCUCUCUUUCCUUUAUAUAUAUAUAUAUAUAUACACACAAUAUCACUGUACAUAUUUCCUUUAAUUUUCUUAAAUAUAAAUCUAUUUCAAUUUUCUUAAAAAAUAUUUAUUUAUUUUUAGUUAAAAUACAUGUAGGUUUAGUUUUGUAUUGAGUCUAUCUGAUAUUAUUAGAUAAAAUAGAGUUAGGAUAAAUGCAUACAGGAAAUAUACUUCUGCGUUUUCAGAUAAAAUAGUAGAAAUAUAUCGUAAAAGCACUCAUCGUGAUACGAAACUUAAUAUUAUAUACAAAAAUAAAUAAAUAUUUUUUUAUUGUAUUUUUUUAUUAGUGUCUUAACGACAUUUUUUCAGAAUCCCAUACAAUCCACAUACUGCAGGGGAUUGAUUAUUUUGUUGGAUUUCAUUGUCGUGGGUCUGUCUAGUCUGUGGCAAUCGAUGCGACAAGUACUUUUAACACAGCUUCUUAUCAUAUUCUAUUUAUUUAUAAAAAAAAUUUUUUUUUAGAGAAACUUCAAAACCCUCCGUUUUCAUAUUUCUCAAUUUAUUACCUUAUAGUUUUAAAGUGUACCAAUUUAUCUCCAUGUGGUUUUAUUUUUGUUUUUCGACAAUUUUCUUUUAAUAUGUUCAAAUUAUAUACAAAAAAUUUUAGAUACCUACUUAAUUUAUCUAAUAUUUAUUUAGUAAUCUUUAAUUUAACUUUCUCAUUGAUUUAAAAAAAAAGAAAAUAUGAUAAAAAAAACCAUAGGAAGGCAAAUUGAUACACAUUAAACAUAAGAUACUAAGUGAGAAAGUACGAAGCCACAUGAGAUUUUUGUAUUUUUUUUUAAAUAUAUAUAUAUAUAUAUAUAUAUAUUAUAUAUAUAUAUAUAAUAUGAAUAAAUUUAUAAUAAAUAUCUAACCGUACCGGCUAUAGCCGUAAAACCUACUCCCCUCACACACACGUACCAAAAAAAAAAAAAAAAAAAAAAAAAAAAAAAAAAAAACCAAAGCGAACCAAAUUGCGGGUGCCUCUCCGCCACCCAACACCCCCACCCGCCCCAACCAAAACUCGAAAACGAUCCAGAUCGCGUCCCACGCCCCACCGAAUGAGACUCCAUCCCCACCGUCCGAUCCAAUUCCCGUCCCCGUUGCGCGCCUAUAAAUAGGGCUCGGGAGACGCAGCAUGGAGAUCGAGCAAGAGCGGGGUCGACGACGAAGCCGAAGACGAAUUAAAGGGGAACGGGAGAGCUAGGGUUACGGUUUCAGGUAAUGAAAUUUUGGGGUGUUUUAAAUUAGUUUUUAUCGAUUUUGUUUGGAAUGGGAGUCGAUUUGGCUUUUAAAAUGGGAUCGGAGAGUGUUCCCGUGCUUUAGGGCUCAGAUCUAAGGAUUUGGAUCGAAACUUCGUGCUAUUUUAUGUGUAGAUCUGUGUGGAUCGAAACUUCGUGCUAUUUUUUUGUGUAGAUCUGGUUUCAUACUGUGAUUUAUGUGAUUUUUUUUUUUUUUUGAUGUUGCUUACUUUCGAUUAGAUCGAAAUGAGUGUUUAGUGGCUCCGUGACGCGUGUUUAGGGUUCGGAUCUGGAUGUUUUGUUCAAAGUUUUCCAUGUUCUAUUUGCUUUUGAAAAUCCUAGCUACUAGUGCUCGAUCUAAGCAUUUCUUAGCAUUGACGGCAAUGAUCGAGCAUCAGAUCUUGUAAAUUUGGUAGAAGAUUAAACUUACUACUAAUUCGUUAUGUAAAAAUCUUUCUUUUGUUCUAAUUCCUGCCCCUAAUUUUUCUCCAAAUUGCAAUGAUACAUCAUCUCUUCUUUUCCCCCCGUUUUCUAGUGUGAAAUGUAUGAAUUAUCCCUGUACUAUUCCACUAGUGAGACUUGGUCCCUGCACAGUAGUUUUUUGUCUCUAGUAGUGAAAAGAAAGUUUUUUUUUUUGUAAUACUAAAUGAUCAUUUUGUAUCUUCAUGUAUAUAAUAAUAAUGAUAAUAAUGAUUUGUUUAUUUCAGUUUAACUUCAAAUUGGAUUAUAAUGCAUUCUGUAGUAAAUAGAUCUUUUUAUAUGUAAAAAUUUUGGAAUUGAAGCAUUUGAGAAGCAUAAUUAAUGUAAAAAUUUAGGAACUGAAGUAUUUGAGAAGUAUAAUUAAUGUACAAAAAUUUAGGAAAUGAAGUGUUUGAGUGAAGAGUACAAGGAUCUAGUUACGAAUUCUGGAUAGAACAGUGACUACUUUAACAUCUUACCCUGUAAAUUAUCCAGUUGUGCUGAUCUACACAUUCAUUCAUUCAUUCAUUCCUGUUGCUUCAGGUUUUUUUUUUUUGAGAAUUAAAGCAAUGGAGGACACGUUUUUGUUCACAUCGGAGUCGGUGAACGAGGGCCACCCCGACAAACUAUGCGAUCAGAUCUCCGACGCUGUCCUGGACGCGUGCCUGGCGCAGGACCCCGACAGCAAGGUGGCCUGCGAGACCUGCACCAAGACCAACAUGGUCAUGGUCUUCGGCGAGAUCACCACCAAGGCGGACGUCGACUAUGAGAAGAUUGUCCGCGACACGUGCCGCGCGAUCGGGUUCACCUCCGACGACGUCGGCCUCGACGCCGACCGCUGCCGCGUCCUCGUCAACAUCGAGCAGCAGUCCCCCGACAUUGCCCAGGGGGUCCAUGGCCACUUCACCAAGCGCCCUGAGGAGAUUGGGGCCGGCGACCAGGGACACAUGUUUGGGUACGCCACUGACGAGACCCCCGAAUUUAUGCCCCUUAGCCACGUCCUCGCCACCAAGCUCGGCGCCCGCCUCACCGAGGUCCGCAAGAACGGCACCUGCUCCUGGCUUCGCCCCGACGGCAAGACCCAGGUGAGCAGAGUUCUUAAAAGUUUUGAUUUCACUAGCUAACCUUUCUAUAUAUUUUGCUGAUUUCAAUGCCUCGGCAUCAAGUUCUGUCAAAACUUAGUGAUUUGUGUUCCGAAAUUUGUAGAAGAUUCGGCCAAACAGAUCAAGAUUUGGUCAAAAAAGUUGCAAAUUCUGACUAAAAAUACUGAAAUAAAGAAAAUGGAUAGGUAGUUUCUGAAAAUUGGAAACUCUCGAGUUUAGGUCGAGAUUUGUACUAUUUUUGAUCUGUUUUAUAUUCAGUAUGGCUUCAUGUGUGUUAGUCUGAUUUAGACCAUCAGCCCGGAAAUAGUAUUUGGAAUCAAUAAAACGAUAUCAAAUGAUUAGAAGUUUGAAAAAGAUUCGAACUCUAGACCUCCUGAUUUGUUAUCAUCUGAAACAAUCAUUUUUUUUUUCUCGCUGUAAUCUUAAUCCAAGUAUUGAAUGGCGCUGUAUCGAUGAUUUGUAUUCUAAUCCAGGUCACCGUUGAGUACCGCAACGAUGGCGGCGCCAUGGUCCCCGUCCGUGUCCACACCGUGCUCAUCUCCACCCAGCACGACGAGACCGUCACCAACGACGAGAUUGCCGCCGACCUCAAGGAGCACGUCAUCAAGCCCGUGAUCCCGGAGAAGUACCUCGACGAGAAGACCAUCUUCCACCUCAACCCAUCGGGCCGCUUCGUCAUCGGCGGACCCCACGGCGAUGCAGGGCUCACCGGCCGCAAGAUCAUCAUCGACACCUAUGGCGGGUGGGGCGCCCACGGCGGCGGCGCCUUCUCGGGCAAGGACCCCACCAAGGUGGACAGGAGCGGGGCCUACAUCGUCCGCCAGGCCGCGAAGAGCAUCGUGGCCAAUGGGCUCGCGAGGCGGUGCCUGGUCCAGGUGUCGUACGCGAUCGGCGUGCCCGAGCCGCUCUCGGUGUUCGUGGACACCUACGGCACGGGGAAGAUCCCCGACAAGGAGAUCCUCAAGGUUGUGAAGGAGAGCUUCGACUUCAGGCCGGGGAUGAUCACCAUCAAUCUCGAUCUGAAGAGGGGCGGGAACGGCAGGUUCUUGAAGACGGCGGCCUACGGGCAUUUCGGGAGGGACGACCCCGACUUCACCUGGGAGGCGGUGAAGCCCCUCAAGUGGGAGAAGCCCGCGGCAUAAACAAGCAUUAUUCCGCUUCUUCGUCCCGUCGCCCGUCGUCCGUCGUAGCCUCAAUAACUGCUUGGAUUGCUAGUGCUUCCGCUAUUUAAAACUCCGUUCUUGUUCUUCGAUACGUGGUCUCAUCUCGUCGUCGCUGCCUCUAAAACCGAUUGUGGUUGAAUCAUAAGGGAGGGUUUGAAUUCUUUGUUGUUGUCUGAAAAAAAAAAAAGAAGAAAGAGAUUGGGGAAGAUGAAGGGGAAGAAGGAUUUGGAGGAUGUAAUGUUUGAGCAAUUUGAUUAAAUUAGUGAAAUGAAACUAUUGUUUGUCUCUGUUUCCUUCCAUUUAUCAUCUCCCCUCUUGUGUAGUGUAGUGUAGUGCUUGUACAGGCAAUCUCUGUUCCCUUACUUUCAUUUAUAAGCAGGUUAGUAUAUAGCAUGGGCCCUUUGCAUGCAAACAAAUCUUCAUGUCCAAAACAAGUAACAUGGGCCCUUUGCAUGCUCUACAGUUAUGGGCAUGCAUUCAAAGAGACUCACAUGGGGUAUAAUGUGACACUGAAUCCCUUCCAAUGAUAUUAUUAUUAUUAUUAUUAUUUGGGAAAACUUUAAAAAUCCCUCUGUGGUUUCGCACUUUUUCAUUUUAGUAUCCUGUGGUUUAAAGUAUAUCAAGUUAGUACUCUGUGGUUUCUCACUUUAUCACUUUAGUACCCUGUGUUUUAAAGUGUAUCAAGUUAGUACUCUAUGGUUUUAUUUUUGUAUCAAGUUAAUACCUUGUGGUUUUAUUUUUGUAUCAAGUUAGUACUCUGUGAUUUUUAAACCACAGAGUACUAAAGUGAUAAAGUGCGAAACCACAUGGUACUAACUUGAUACACUUUAAACCACAGGGUAUUAAAGUGAAAAAGUACAAAACCACGUGAUGUUAGCUUGAUACGCUUUAAACCACAGGGUACUAAAAUAAAAAAGUACGAAAUCAUAUGGUGGGUUUUUUAAGUUUUCCCUUAUUAUUUUAUUAAAAGACUGAUUUGAGUGUCUUUAUCCUCGGCCAUUCCCUCUUGACUCGUGCUGAUGAGAAUUUUAUUCCAAGAGAAAUACUUUUGAGUUUUUUGAAUUCUAUUUUUGUUUUAAGCAAUAACAUGUUCCUUUUUAAAAAAUUUUAAGGAAAUAAAAUAAUUUUUUAGAGCUCAAAUUGCAAUAAAAAGAAAAAUUGAGAUUGAGGCCCAAAGAUAAAAACUCUAAUUUAGCAUUUGUAACUCUACUAUAUAUAUAAAAAAAGAAUUAUGUGCCACCAGAUAUGUCCUCUACAAAUUGUAUAUUAUAGAAAGAAUUGCCAAAUAUUUGAUGAACAAAAUAUGAGAAGCUUUUGCUAUGAUUAGAACAGAAAAGUAGUUUCCAUGCUCCCUAAUUAUAGGCUCCAAUUGCUGUAGCAAGAGACCGCUUAUUAAGGUAAUUUUAAUUAGAAUUUUGUUAGGACUAUAACUGAACUUAAAUAUUUUGAGCCGAUAGUUUUGAGCCAAUGAAUUAUUCCUACUAGAAGGUCGGGUCGUUACAGAAUCAUCAAAGAGUACAAAGUUGCGAAUCAUCGUGUGUUUAAUGGUUUGUUUGGUGCUGCAGAGCAUCUUUUUCGUUUUCUUUUUUUGUAGAACCACAAAUACUAUAUCUUAACUUAUUGUGAUAUGCACAAAUAUCAUUUACAGAAAGAAAUGGAACAAAUGUAAUGUUUUUUAAUCCUACAUUCUCACUGUAUAUAAGGAGAUUAAAUGAGAUCAUGAGUCUGAUGAGGUUUUAUCAAGAGACCUCUUGCUUUAUUACCACAUGAAAAUAGUAUAAAACAAUAGUUUUUUUCAAGAACUUUAGUUUUCAAAAAAUACUUGCCUUUUAAUAAUUAUAUUCAGCAGAAUUUUCUAAAAAAUUUUAACCCCCUUUUGCGGUAAAGCUUAUUCUAGCAGCUUUACUAAACUAAUAUUUUUGAAGAAGCUCCAGCAAAAUCAAACAGAUUCUUAUUAAAUAUUAAAAAUGAAACUAGAUUGUCAUCCUUUUCCCAAGUCUAAUUGAAUCAUGACUUAAAAUCUAUCCCAAUCAUGAGUCUUAUCAUAGCAUUACUUUCCAUAAUUCAUGUUUCAAAAAUCCUUAACAUCCCAUCACUGUAAUAUCCACAAAAACUUGCUGGUGUUUUGGGGUGUGAUUAAUUACUUUCUCACUCUUAUCUUUCUUUCCUAUUUAGGAAGAGCCUUUUAUCUCUAAAAGUUGGUGGAAUGGAUUACACUAAUUUGUUUUUCCUAAUUAUCUUAACUUGUUGAUAAUUGAGUUAUAAAAUAAACAUUUUUAUAUUAGUAUCGCUGUGAUACCACUUGUAGAAAAUGAUAUUUGUACUUAUGCCAAUUUUUGUAACAAGUGAGCGGUACGAAAUGAUAUUUGCAAUGAUACUAGUUUUCGGAAGCAAUGAUUAUUAUAAUACUAGUUGUAGAACUCUUGUAGGAUAACUACUACAAUUUAUUCAAAAGUAAGGCUACAUGUAUGCGAUAGUAUUUAAUUUUCUAAUAAAUUGUUGAUGUAUUGGUACCGAUAUUAUAGAGUAUUAUUGCUUUAGAUAAGGACAGCAAAUAAAUAUUUUGCUGAUUGUUUUUCCAAUAAAGAAAUAAUUGCUUGAUUCAUUUUUCAUAAAAUUAAGAAAAAAAAACCUUUUCUAGAAAAAUUAUUUUUUUUGAAAAGCAAACAAAUGAAAAAUAUCAUACACUCCCUUGGGAGUGAAAAUUGAUUAUUGUAACUAUAUAAUUACAAUAACAACAUGUGAUAGCAAUUACUACAUCUACAAGUAUUUUAUUCAAGGGUAAAAUUUUGUUAGUAUAUUCUUUUUGCAUGAUUGAGAGUUAUGAUUAAUAAAUAUUGAGUUAGAUGGUUGGUUAAAAUGAAUUAAUAUUUUUAUUGAACUUAAAGAAAAAAAAAAAAGCACAAACUUGUGGGAAAUGACAACUUAGUUGACUUGGAAUUAAGUAAUAUAUAUUUGGUAAGCUGGAUUGGUGAAUGUAAUGCAUUAGCAUCUCCUUCUGAUGAUCCCCCCGCCCCCCCCCCCCCCCGCCCCCCCCCCCCCAAAAAAAGGAAAAAAAAUAUUAUUACUCAAUCUAUAAAAAUGUUUGCAUAUUUAUACACCACAUAAAACAAGAUAUAAUAAGAAAAAAAAAAUUGAAUGCAAAAAAAUUAGCACAUGUGACAUUAGACAAAGUCAAACUUCUAGAAGCUUCAAUGGCAUCUAGAUCAGAGAUGUCACGGGUCGGAUUCGGGGUGGGUUUUUAAAAACCCGAAUCCGAACCGACUCCAAACUGAGACCCGAAUCGAACUUGAACCUAAACCGACGGAUUUUAAAAAUCCAUAUCCAAACCCGAACGCGACAAAAAAUCCGAAACCGAACCGACCGAACCGAAAUUUGAACCGAAAUAAUUAUUCUUUUUUCAAUAUGCAAAAUAUAUUAUAUUAAAUCUAAAUUUUUAAAAUACAAAUUUAAUAUAACAUCAAUUAUAUUAUAUAUAUAUAUAUAAUAUAUAUAUAUAUAUUAUAUAUAUAUUAAUUAAUAUAUAUAUAAUACAAAAUAAAUUCGGGUUCGGGUUCGGGUCGGGUACAAUCAAAAUCCAUAUCCGAAUCCAUAUCCGUCGGGUUUCUAUUUUUGAUAUUCAUAUCUGAAUCCAUAUCCAUAUCCAUCGGAUAUAUCCGUUUCAUUUGGGUUCGGGUUCGGAUAAAAUUUUGGGUAUCCAUAUCCAUUGACAUUCCUAAUCUAGAUUUAGAGAUUUUCAAAAAAAUAAAUGUAAAAAUGUAUGAAGAGCACCUCAACUUUAGGCUAUUUUGAAAUAGGGCACUCAACUUUACCUAAUUUAAAAAAAAAAAUAAAAAGAAGGCAUUGAUUAGAAAAGAUAAACUUGUCAAAUCAUUAAUAUCCCAAUGAUAAAGACAAAAAUUUUAUAGACACCGUGCCCAAACAAUUUGUUUGGGCACGGUGCCCAGCAUCCGCACCCUCAAAAAAAAAAAAAAAAUUGGUGGGCUCGGUUUUUAGAAAGAGAGAGAAAGAAAGGGGGGAGGGAGGGUGCGGAUGGGCGCCGCUGCACACGCGGCGUCCAUCUGGGCACCGUGCCCAAACAAAUUGUUUAGGCACGGUGCCUAUAAAAUUUUUGUCCCAAUGAUAAGGCAUUGAGUAGGAAUCAAGACGUAUUAGUUUGGUUCCUAGAAAAAGUACAUUAAAAAGGUUUUUAAGAAAAAUAAAAAAAUUUUCAUUUUUUUUUUUUUGGGUAGUUUUUCAUCCUUUUGGUUACAAAAAAAAUUAGUUAUUUUUUUGAAAUCUUUUUUUUUUUUUUCAAAAUUCAUAAAAAACUAGCAUUUUUGUUUUCCUAAAUGAAAAUUCGAAAACGAAAAUAUUAUUUUUUCAUAAAAUUUGGAAAAAAAAAGUUUUCCAAGAAAGUUAAUUUCUCUUGGAACCAAAUAGACGAAAAACUGUAAAAAAAAAUUUUCUAUAUAAAAAAAAAAAAUUUUCAAAAUUUUUUUUGAUAAUUUUUCUGGAAACCAAACAAGUCCAAAGCGUCAGGAGUCCAGUUCCUCCUAAAAAAGAAAAAAAGAGAUAAAGUUAAGGGGCCUAAUUCAAAAAAUGGCUAUAGUUGAGGGGUUCUUGAUACAUUUUUACCAUAAAAUAAAAGAAAUUUAGUUGUAUCAAGGGAUCUUGUCCAUUCACAUGCUCUACCUAAUUAGGCAUAGUUAACAAGAAUUUAAAAAAUAGAGUAGAAGUCAACUGGGACUUCACUAACCAUUCAAAUAAUUAACACCAUUUACAAAUAUUUUACUCCAAAAAAAAUAUUCAUAAAUGAAAAAAAUAAAGUAAUCAAAGCAUUUAACAACAUGAGAGUUAACCAUUACGCAACUCUUAUUAUAAUCAUUGUGUUCCAAAUACAUUGAAACUCUCAUCGAAAGAUCUAUCACAACAUAAGUUUUUAGUCGUACAGAAGGUAAUUCAUAUUAUCAGAACACUUUUUGUUAUUCAUAAUAUAAUGUAUCUGCUUUGUCAGUAUUAAAAAGAUAUGUUAUAAUAUCAUCACGCAUACGCACGAUUAGAAUUUUGGCUUAAGAUGGAGGUCAAACUAAUUGGUGCGGAACUUAAUCUUUGCAAAUAAAAUAGCUUCUGCGAUGUCGGGAACUUGUUGUUUAUUGCUUCUCCAUCAAGCAGAUGUGUGUCUUAAACCGAAAGAUUCAACGCCGAGCAGCAUAUUAUCUCAUGGUCGAUGACGCAGUGCCUUUCGUCAGAAAGAAGGAUUGAGAAUGAGAAUGUUUUAUAUGCGCCAACCAUCUAACUGUUUGAUUUGCUGAGAAGCUGAAAGUUAUUCUGAAAAGAAUGGCUCACAUAGGAAGCAGAAAUGAGCCUGAAUCCUUUACCGUCGAGCUGGAGGAAGCGAGGAGGAGCAUGGAGUCAUCAUUUCGAGCCGCUGCUGCGAGCUUCAGGAGAAGCUUCAGCAGUGCCAGAAGGGAGGGUGAUGAUGAUGACGAAUACGAGCUGAAAUGGGCGGCGAUCGAACGGCUAGACACCCUCGACAGACUAAGGACGUCGUUGUUUGAUCAUCCGAUAGAUGCAAUAGAUGGCGAUGGAGAAAAAAAGGAGAAGAGAGCGACCGACGUUACCAAGUUAGGAGCCCUGGAACGGCGGUUGUUCAUCGAGAAUCUCAUCAAGCACAUCGAGAACGACAACCUCCGGUUGCUGCAGAAGCAAAGAGAAAGAAUUGACAGGUCAAAAUCGGAUCGCAAACUCUCGUUUUUACGAGGAAUUGGAAAUAAUUUUCAUGGUGGUUUUCUGCAGAGUGAAUGUACAAUUGCCGACAAUAGAGGUGCGAUACGAAAACCUGUGUGUCGAAGCCGAUUGUGAGGUAGUUCAGGGGAAGCCCCUACCCACCCUAUGGAACACUGCCCAAAGUGCUGUUUUGGUAAGCAGAUACUUGCAUAGCUCAUUGAUAAGUAGAGAUAUAGAUGUGGAGAUUCUAAAGGCAUGCACAAGUUCAUUCAUUAUACUAAUCAGAUAGAGCUUUUAAAGAUUCUGGAAAGCACAAGCUGAAAAGCGAAGAACUAUUUUAGAAGUGUCAUUCAGGCCAAUCUUUUAACUAGGAUCAUAUUUAUAUGUAAUGAAACUAAUGCGAGUUUUCAUGGAGCAGGAUCUUUUCAGAAUGACGGGCUUAAAUCGUCAAGAAGCCAAAAUCAGAAUACUGAAAGAUGUCACUGGAAUCAUCAAGCCAUCGAGGUAAGCACUUCUGGUUAAAGAUUUGGAUUUUAUCUUCAGUUCUAAUAAGCUUUAGCUAUCAUCAAUUUAUUUUGUCAAAAGCCAUGCUUAUUGCAAAAUCAAAUUAUUAGCAGGGUUUUAUCACUAAGUGUAGGUAUUUUUAAAACUCAUUGCAGGAUUACUCUUUUACUAGGACCUCCGGGCUGCGGGAAGACCACACUCUUGCUUGCGCUUAGCGGAAAACUAGACAAAUCUCUCAAGGUAUGUAAAUUGAAUACAAAUACUAAAAACGCCGUUCUCCAGUAGCUAAAGCUUUUGGCAAACAAUGACUGUUUCACAUGUUUUAACAUGGUAUAAAAAACAUGAGGUCUUGAGUUCGAGUCCCACUCCUUGCUUUAUUGAAUUUCCUCCGAUUUAAUUCAGUUUUAUGGCUGGGGCAUAUCUAAAAGUCUCGAACUCAAACGUGAGGAGUGUUGAAUAUAAAUAUUAGAAACACUAUCAUCUGGUAGCUUAAACUUUUGGAGAACGACAACACAAUACGUAAAAAGUUGGGUGAACUUGUAAUUCCUUUAUAAGUUGUUCAUGCGAGAGACAUCACUUAUAGUCCUUCAAAAAGCUAGAAGAUCACAAGAAUUAGCAAAUUCCCUGACACUAAAACCUUGUAAUCAUUCAGGUAUCAUCACAACAUUGUUUUAAUCAGAUUAUAAUGCAACCACACAACUAUUAAAGCAAUCUUCUAUUAUCGUAGUAGUUUCUGCAAAUGAUUUUCAGCAUAAAAGGUUAGAGAGUUUCAAUACUUGAUCACUCAUUGUGAAGAUUUUGAUGUAGGUAACUGGAGAAAUUCAUUACAAUGGAUUCAGAUUGGACGAGUUCGUACCUGAGAAAACAUCAGCUUACAUAAGUCAAUAUGACCUGCAUAUACCUGAGAUGACGGUAAGGGAGACAUUGGACUUCUCUGCGAGAUUCCAAGGUGUUGGUAGCAGAGCAGGUAGGAACACACCACACAUCUGUUCAAAGCUGUAUUGCGGCUGUUAAUUAGUAUCUAUUCAAGCGAGUUACUGAGAAUUUGUGAUUGCAAACCUUAUGAAGAAAUUAUGAAGGAAGUGAUUCGAAGGGAGAAGGAGGCUGGAAUUGUUCCGGAUCCUGACAUAGACACCUACAUGAAGGUUAUAUCAUUUCUUCUAUUCUUUACUAUUUUCCUAAUUUAACGAAGGUUCUUGCACUUCACAAUCAUAAGAAACAUCAGAUUCAUAAACCAGAGCGACCAAAAAGCAAGCAUACAUGGUCUACCGAUAUCUCGAGGAUACAUAAGUAAAAGCUCCAUUUUAAAAUUGUUUGCUAGAAUAAGGAUUUAAGUGCCGUGGCACAGAUACGUAUUGAGCACGGUAUGGCACGAUGCGUUUUGUGCUGUGCCGAUGCGUGCCGGACACAAAAGUGAAUGUUGAGCUGUGCCGUCAGCAUGGAGGUUAUAUCAUGCUAAUAUCUUGUUGGCACUGCAUGAUACAAUGGGCACAGCCCGUAUCGAUGGACAUUUAACACUUUAGCUAGAACACAAUAGUUUACAGUUUACAUUCAUCAAACAAGCACAAACCUGCAUGUUUACCAAUAUCUUGAGGAUUGAAUUCAUUAUGACAGGCAAUAUCUGUGGAAGGACUAGAAAGAAGUCUACAAACAGAGUAUGUAAUGAAGGUAAUUUUCUGAGGGUUGCAAGAACUGACCUAAUGAAUGCAUCAAAUAAUGCUUUUAUCCUUACAUCAAUAACUGUGCUUAUUUAUUAGAUCAUGGGGCUAGAUAUAUGCGCGGACACAAUGAUAGGGGAUGCCAUGAGAAGAGGCAUUUCAGGUGGUGAGAAGAAAAGAUUAACCACAGGUACUUUGAAAUAACUGCACACAUCAAGGUUACAUGAUUUCUUUGUACUUUAGGCGAAUUUUCAACUUUAAGGACCAAAUUGCCGACAAUAAAAUGGCCGCAAUGCACGGAUUUGAAGAUCGAUUCACUGUUCGGAUUCUGAACCACAGUUGCAUACUUUUGAAAUCGUGUGCUGUGGGUCAAGUAGUUGAUGCACUGUUUGGUCCUAAAAGUUGCAAAGCAGGCUAAAGUCGCAAAAAGAAAAAAGAAAAAAGCAUCAUGAUUUGCAAGUGCAACAGUAACUUACAGAAAAUUCCAUUUCCCUUAAGGUGAGCUCAAAUUCCAAUCAUCAAGCUUACUUGGCAAGUUAUUAAGCAUUCGAUCAUUCGUUUUUGGUAGGCGAGAUGAUUGUAGGACCAACAAAAGCACUUUUCAUGGAUGAAAUAUCAACCGGCUUGGACAGCUCUACUACCUUUCAAAUUGUCUCUUGCCUUCGACAAUUGACUCACAUCACGGAAUCCACUGUGCUGGUUUCACUUCUUCAGCCUGCACCGGAGACUUAUGACCUUUUCGACGACGUGAUCUUAAUGGCAGAAGGGAAGAUUGUAUAUCACGGGCCUCGAACUGAUAUUUUGAACUACUUUGAGGUUUGCGGUUUCAAAUGCCCGGAAAGAAAAGGAGCGGCCGACUUUCUCCAAGAGGUGUUUACAAAUUCAGUUUUGCAGAUUAGCCCUUAAAAUUCACUCCAAAUAUCUAAUUCUGAUAUUGUUCAGGUAUUGUCCAGAAAAGAUCAAAAGCAGUAUUGGAACCGGCCAGACGAAAACUACGGUUACGUUACCGUCGACCAAUUUUGUGAAAAAUUCAAGGGACAUCAAGCUGGACAAAGUCUAACUGAAGAGCUAUCAAAACCUUAUGACAAGUCCAAAUGCCCUAAAAAUUCUCUUUCCUUCAGUAUCUAUUCCCUAUCAAAAUGGGAGCUACUUAAAGCCUGUGUGGCCCGAGAAGUACUACUAAUGAAGAGAAACUCAUUCAUCUACAUAUUCAAGGCAGUUCAGGUAGAUCCCUACACAUUUUUUCACUCCGUAUUUCUUGCAGUGAUGAAGUUAAUGGACAAAAUGAUUGACUACUUGUUUAUUGCAGCUCGGGAUUCUUGCGAUGAUUACAGGAACUGUGUUUCUACGUACGCAUAUGGGGGUUGAUACACUUCAUUCGAAUUAUUAUAUGGGCUCACUCUUCUACGCGCUUCUUUUACUAAUGGUAAACGGUUUCCCGGAACUAGCCAUGACAGUUUCUAGACUCCCGGUCUUUUACAAGCAAAGAGACUUCUACUUCUAUCCGGCUUGGGCUUAUGCUAUUCCGGCUACAAUUCUAAAAAUUCCGGUUUCUAUAGUGGAGUCGAUCAUUUGGACGUCGAUUACUUACUACUUAAUUGGCUAUAGUCCACAAGCAUCAAGGUUCUUCCGCCAACUUCUACUGCUGUUCUUUGUCCAUGUUAUGUCACUGUCCCUUUUCCGGGUUGUAGCCUCAUACUUUCAGACUGUGGUGGCAUCCACACUCGGCGGUACCUUCGCUUUGCUAUUGAUCCUCCUAUUUGGGGGCUUCCUUCUCCCACGACGUAAGCGACUUGUUAGUUUUAGACAUUUUAUUUGCUACAGAAAGUUAACAUACUAUAUAACACGCGCUUUUCCUUUUGCAGCCUCUAUACCAAGUUGGUUAAAAUGGGGAUUCUGGACUUCGCCAUUGACAUACACCGAAAUAGGCUUAGCUGUAAAUGAGUUUCUAGCGCCACGAUGGCAAAAGGUGAAUUUGACACUCUCUAUCUUCCAUCGAGUGCUUAUUUGGCCCGACUUCUGGUGUAGCUUCUUUUCUUCAGAAAGUAGGAGGUUUUUAGGAACCGGGCGUUUGAUUGCCCAAGAAGCCCCAAUUUGGCUCUUUCAAUCUACUGUAGCAAAAAAAUGUAAAACAAGAUUCAAAUGAAAGAGCUAUUAUUGCUUCUUCUAACAGCUCUACUUAAAGCCGGCAAAGCUGACCCUAAAAGAACAAAAGUAGUCUAAUUAUUCCUUAUCUUCCAAUAAUCUUCUGUUUUGCAGUUGUUACCGUCGAACAUAACCAUCGGAAAACAAGUACUGAUAACCCGAGGGCUCAACUACAGCGGCUACUAUUACUGGAUAGCGAUCGGAGCAUUAUUUGGAUUUGUUGUGUUGUUCAACAUAGGAUUUACUCUCUCCUUAACUUUCAAAAGACGUAAGUUUUCUUCUGAGAAAUCUAUAUAUCACUCAGAUACAAACACACAGUACGGCUUUCCAACACGUAAAUUUUAUGUCUCAGCUCUCGGAGCUUCGCGGGCUAUCAUCUCUCGAGAAAAGCUUUCUCAACUACAAGGAAAAGAUGUCGGCACGAAAAAACACUCUACGGAUAAUACCACCAACUUAUCCACAACAAGAUCAACAGAACCUAAAACAACUGGUCAGAAAACUCUGUCCUGACUCCUGAGUUCCAAAAAUAAAAAAGAAAAAGAGGAUUUUACCUAAUAAUAUUGUGGUUGUUCGUGUAGGAAAAAUGGUCUUGCCUUUUAUUCCCCUCACAGUAGCAUUCAAGGAUGUGAACUACUAUGUUGAUACUCCUGCAGUAAGUAUACUUAAAAGUGAUAAUACACAUAUAUGAUUGGAUGAAUACCCCGCAAAAUUUACCUUUUUACAUUUAUCACUGCAAAAUAUGAACCUUAAUAUAUGCUCUUCAGAAACUCAGUUUCUUACAUAUAUACCCUUUUACUUGCUAAAAUGUCCCUCAAACAAAAAUUGUUCGAAGAAAUAUUAACUUGUGAGAAACAGUACUUUUACAUAGAUGAUUUUGUGUAGCUCAUAACAGUGUCAUACACUUCUCAAAUCGGUGGUAAGUUCGCGUGAUAAGAAGCAAUAUUUUAUUUUGCAGGAAAUGAGAGAACAAGGCUUUACAGAAAAAAGGCUCCAACUGCUACAUAACAUAACAGGUGCUUUCCAGCCGGGAGUGCUUACGGCAUUAAUGGGCGUGACCGGGGCUGGGAAAACCACGCUGUUGGAUGUUCUUUCCGGUAGAAAAACCGGCGGGGUUAUCGAAGGAGACAUAAGAAUUGGAGGAUAUCCUAAGGUACAGAAAACUUUUGCGAGAAUUUCUGGUUACUGUGAACAGACCGAUAUACACUCGCCACAAAUUACAGUCGAAGAAUCCGUAGCCUAUUCAGCUUGGCUGCGACUCCCGCCAGAAAUCGACUCAAAAACAAGACACGUGAGUAAUCUCAGAAAAAGAGACUAAGUUCAGUGCAUCAAAUAUAUGAUAAUCUCAGUUAUUAUCUCAGUGAUCAAUGGUGUAGUGAACCCCAAUAAAGUACGCUAACUGCUACAUUGUGAUUACCAGGAAUUCGUCAAUGAAGUCCUUGAGACGAUUGAGCUUGAUGGAAUCAGAGACGCAUUGGUCGGGCUACCGGGGAUUAAUGGUCUGUCCACAGAGCAAAGGAAGAGACUAACGAUCGCAGUCGAGCUCGUUUCUAAUCCGUCGGUCAUCUUUAUGGAUGAACCGACAUCAGGUCUAGAUGCGAGGGCGGCCGCCAUCGUUAUGCGUGCGGUGAAAAAUGUUGCUGAAACGGGAAGGACGGUGGUCUGCACCAUCCACCAACCGAGCAUCGACAUAUUCGAAGCAUUUGAUGAGGUAAUACAAAGAAAUUGUUCUUCAAUGAACGGAGAUAAACUACCGAAGAGAAGCAAAAUUAGGAUCUACCUAACUAAAUAUAUAAUCUUCGAUAUAUCUGGUUAAGCUUUUAUCAUGAAAGAACUUCUAAUGAAAUGCCUAAAUUCGAUUUUCUUGCAGCUGAUUUUAAUGAAAAGAGGAGGAGAACUGAUCUACGCCGGACCACUAGGUCGGCAUUCGUGUAAAGUGAUUGAAUAUUUUGAGGUGAAGUCUCUAACAAGUAUGAGUGCCUUUUCCAUUCUAAUCAGACAAUAGUAACUAAUCCUAUGGGAGAAAAGUGUAGAACGAUCCAAAUUCAUCAAAGCAAAAUUAGUUGAAAACACUUAUCAGAUAAUAUAAACUGAGACGCAGAAAAUCGAUGACAACUUGAGAGAAACUUUACCAGAAAAUAGGUGUCUCCCGGAGCAGCUUUUGGUACUUAAUAGAAGAUUCCUGUUACUUUAAACGGAGAGCAACUUCAAAACAUCAGGCGUUUGGAGCCGUCGUCAGAAAAUGCGCUUAAAAAUUCAGUUGUUAACCUCGAAGAACAUAGUCUAGCUACAAACUGUAUUAUCUGAAAAAAAAAAUCAGUGUUAUAAUCAAGCAAAUUAUGUCUACUAGAAUGAAAAUUAGUGAAAGAACACAAUGACAGUUUGGAGGUUUAGUAGAAAUAACACCUACAAAUAAUAAGAUAAUCGUGAAGAAAUAUUAUAAAAUACGAACGCAAAAAAGGGGGAAAAAAGGGAAAGGGAAGCAUUCAUGUCAGAUUAUGCCUUUGCAUCCAAAUUAUUUGUUCUUCACUGAUUAAAGUAAGCCGGAGGGCCAAAUUGAAAAUUGGAACCAUAAUCCAAGCCUGCACAAUUGUUACAAACAAUGUUCAUAAAGAUUACUUCACUAUGAACAAUACUCAGAAAAGUAGCUUUACUGUCUUUUAUUUUGCAGGGAAUCUCUGGAGUGCCGAAAAUCAGAAAUAGUUACAAUCCCGCGACUUGGAUGCUGGAUGUUACCACUACAUCAUUCGAGAAUCAACUGGGAGUAGAUUUUGCAAAAAUUUAUAAGGAAUCAUCUCUUUACAAGUGAGUGCUAUCACAAUCAUAAUGCUUUUAGUUUCCAUAACAAGUUUUCUCUGUAGGUAUACAAGCGCGCGCCACAAAUACAAUAUAUAAUAAUAAAUGUAUUGCGAUGCAUGUUGCAAACAACUUUCUAACUGCAGAGAAAAUAUGGCUCUGGUCGAGCGGUUAAGCAUGCCAUCAGCAGAUUCAAAGCAACUAAGUUUUCCAACGCGCUUUGCUCAAAAUUUCUGGGUACAGUUCAAAGCUUGCUUGUGGAAGCAAUAUUUGUCAUACUGGAGAAGCCCUUCGUACAACUCAGUGCGGAUAACAUUUGUACUCGUGUCCUCGAUAGUAUUUGCAGUGUUGUUCCAGAAUCACGCAAAUAACAUGUAAGUUCUCACCUAUUUCAAGCAUUAAGUUCUCACAUUUGAACUUAAACAGCGCAACUUUAUGCCUAAGAUCACAUUUUAUGAGAAUGUGGUCUGAAACUGACUAAAAAGCUCUCUCCUUAGACCAACUAUCAAGAUUUUCGUCAGCCUAAAAGCUCCAAAGCAAGCAGGCAUGUCGACGGCAAGAAAUGCACCACAAUCAAUCGAAUUUGUAGUAACUCUUUAAAUUUCGGUUUCUGCAAAUCAUUUAGCCCCAAAAUGUAUGCACAACUGAAAAAACAUCGACAGAAACAGAAGAAUGAAAGAAAAGAAAUUUCAUAUGUUUGAAGUAGGGCAUUUAACAAUUCACUACAAAUUCUCAAGCAUAAAACCCUCUAUGUUUAUGGUUCUAGCAAUUCCACGACACAUUUCUGUUUGCAGAAAUAACCAGCAAGAUUUGUUCAAUAUCUUGGGGUAUAUGUAUGCUGGCACUAUCUUCACCGGCAUAAACUGCUGUUCAUCUGUCAUACCUUUCGUCGCAAUUGAGCGCACUGUUGUAUACAGAGAAAAUUUUGCGGGAAUGUACUCUCCGUGGGCAUAUUCAUUUGCGCAGGUUCGAUAAUGUCAACGUUACUAUUUCUACAUGAAAAACUUGCAUUAGCUACAAAUCUAGUCCUCAAGUUUACCUCAAUUUCAACUACAUCAAUCAAGAAUGAAACUUCAGGAACUAAAUUUGAAAACUAAUUGAAGAAGUAUUAUUUCCUAAAUGCUGAUAAUCGCAGUAGUAUUUUUCUCAAUGCCUUCUCCAGGUGGUCAUCGAGUUCCCUUACGUAUUCGGGCUCGUAGUCCUGUUCAUGAUCAUCACAUAUCCAGCUAUCGGGUUCACGUGGACAGCGUCCAAGUUCUUGUGGUUCUUUUACAUCAUGUUCUGCACACUGCUCUACUUCAUUUACCUCGGAAUGAUGCUGACGUCGUUAACGCCAAAUGUACAAGUGGCCUCCAUAUUAGCAUCCGUCUUCUACACCUUACUGAACCUCUUCUCAGGCUUCAUUGUACCGAGACCCGUAAGUAUCCAAUUCACCAUCUCUCACUUAAAAAAAGAAAAAAACACGAAAACAAACUAGAGACAUUUACAUAAACAUAUGUUGAGGUAAAGAGAUGGUUAUGUACAUAUGAAGGGAAUAUGCGACAAGCCAAAUUUUAUGUUGGUACAUAUUUGCUUUGAUCCAUCCAUGCAGGAAAUUCCAAAGUGGUGGAUUUGGCUAUAUUACAUCUGCCCCACAUCGUGGACGCUGGACGGCCUCUUCUCCUCGCAGUACGGAGAUGUCGACAAAGAGGUUACGGUGUUCGAAGAAACACAACUGAUAUCUUCAUUCAUAGAAAGCUACUUCGAAUUCCACCACGACCGUUUGUGGUCGGUGGCCAUUGUUCUCCUUGCCUUCCCCUUAGUCUUUGCUACUCUCUUCGCUUAUUUCAUCGGAAAACUCAAUUUCCAGAGGAGAUGAAGCGGGGGAAGUAUUUCAAUUUGCGAUUGUAAAGUUUAAGUAAUACCUACAAUUUGAAGACUUACAGAAAAGAUGUACAAUUUGGAAUACAGGGAGUGCUUUUCUCUUUCUACACAACACAAUGUGCAUCUUUUGCUGAUUAAGAGAAUAACAUUCUACUAUGAAGUGUCAAACUAAGCAAAAGUUUGAAUGAAUGAUUAUGGAAAAUUAUCAAAAGUUACUAUUGUGAACAGUUCAAUUCUCUCAAAGAUGAAGAAGAGAAUAUACUCUGUAUUAACUGAUAGCAAAGUGAAACUUAACUUUGCCAUUUCAUUUAUAUGACUUGAGGCGAUUUUGAUUAGAAUGGUUCCUUUUCAAAACCUUUCAGGCACUUCCAACUAUCUUAGAGUUUGUUUGACACUGCUAUAGGAUAUAGUGUUGUUUGAUGAAGUGCUGUGCAAGCAGUGCUUUUAGAAAAGAGAAACUCUGCCUUAAGACUACCUUCGCCAUAUCAUAUAUGAUUAUCUUUCAAAACUAUUCAGACACUUCCUACUAUCUUCGGGUCCAUUUGGUGCUGCUGUAGGAUGUAAUGCUGUUUGAUGAACUGUUGUGUGAAUAGUGCUUUCAGAAAGAACUCUACAGCAAAAUUAGGAGCAUUAAAUUAGAGCUUCUGCUUUUGAGCAUCAAAAUCUCAUUUUCUAAUUCCUACUGCAAUGAUAGUAUCAAACUACUCUGUUUCGCUAAAAUGCUCUACUGAAUAUGACUAUUGCUUAAAGCAGAAGCAGAAGUGAGGCCAAACAGACACUUAGAUUUAUUAUACUCUAAUAACAUAUUGCAUACAAAAUUAUUAACAUUUUCAUCCUCACAAUGUUCCUAAUAUCAAACAUUUAGCAUUUUCAACAAGAAAAUAAGCCUAAAAUUGCUGUAAAAAAAAAAAAAAAAAAAACUUUUCUGUAACUAGCCAUGUUAAAAGGAAUGAAAGAAACAAUUUUGCCAGAUCAAAAAAGGAAAAAGAAAAAGAAAAAUUGAGUGAAGAGAUCAUACACGAAUCAAAAUCCAUACUUAAUGGAGAAUCCAAUGUGGGUCUCCGAAGAGAUCGAACUGGGGAGGCGGAGAGAGUUGGGGUUCGGAGUUAGGGUUAGGGCACCCAAAAGAUAAAAAAAAAAAGAGGCGGGAAUAUGUAGGUUUGUUUAGUUGGAAAAAGAUACUAUUUUGUGAUAAAUUUCCUUGCAGGGGGUUUUAUGUAAAAAUGCUCGGCGACUCAAGAGUGUAGUGUUGUUGGAUAAAGUAUGCGAUAGAACUAGUGAUUUUAAAAAAAAAGUAUUAUAUAAAAAAAAUUUGAAUAAAUUUUCUUCGUGGCAAAAGUCGAUGCGAUAUUGAAAUAUUAAUAUACCUGAAAUUUGAAGUGAUAUAUAAUGGGUUGAAACAGACAGAAACUUUAAUGUGAAAUUUUAUGGAUAGAUUCGCCGAAAAGAUGCUAAUGUGUGUUUUUCAAAAAGCUCUACUGUGAUAUCACUUCUGUAAUAUCUUUUGUGGGCGCGAACAAAUCCUUAACUAAUUGGGCUUACUGGCCAUUACCCAAGCUCACUUAUAUGGCCUUUGUUAGCAACAUUAACAAAGAGUAUGUUUCUGAUAAACGCAAUAUCAACUUUAUUGAAUCUAGUCAAAUCCGCGCACUAAAUGGUGGUCAUAUUCAACAAAUCUAUGCAUCAAAUUCAAAAUAGUCUUUUGAAAAUGGUAUUGUGGUCCAUAGAAAUUGAUCAAAAAAAGAAAUAACUUAUCUAUGGGGAAUUAGAUAGAGUGAGCUCAUCACUUUCCAUGAUCUCUAUCAUGGAGGAUUAACUACAUUCUCCUAAUAGCAUGAAUUAUUUAAUCCCCAUCUAAACCUUUUUCUUAUUCUCUUCUUUUAUAAAGAGAGUCUCCACCCCUACAUAGUCUAAGGUGUAGUGUAGUUCCUUUUAUUCUUAUCUACACCUCACAUCACUUUUUUUUGUACUUAAAUUAUUCUCCCCAAUCUCUACCAAUUUGCAUGCAUGCAUGCAUGCAUAUAUCCAUUCCUACUUACUUUUUUUAUUUUAUUUUAUUAUUAUUUUUUUUUUGUGUGUGUGCCUAUGGAUGCAUCUUUGACAUAUGUGGCUCUAAAUACUUUUUGAAGCCUUACUCACUAAGCUAUAGAUGUUUCAAUUUCACUCUCACUUGUCUAGAUAAAUUAACUUGAUUUUUGAUUCUUGUAUUUAUAAUUAAGUUUUUAAAAUUAUUAUAUAUAACUCAUAUUUAUGCCAAUAACAAUUGCCAAGUGUUAGAGUAAAUAUUGCCGCAUCACUAUUAUAUCAUAUCAAUGGUUCAACAUUACAUAUUCAAAAUUCUGUCACACAUUUAUCUUGAGAUGUUUCGAUGGACUGCAAACGGUUUUUUUUUUUUUUUUGAGAGAGAGAUAGGUAGCACGCUACCCGCUUCACUUAUUUCAUUUAAAAAUAAACUUAGCUAGAAAUAUGAAUCAACUAGGGUUCGAACUUGGGACCUCGGGUACCAACCACCAAGCCCUUUGCCACUUGCUUUAGGGACAAUCGGUUGCAAAUGGUUUAUUGGCUUAAAAAGACUUGGGAUAAGAAAAUAAAACUUGGAAUGUACUGACAUAUAUAGUGAGUGCUUAGGACUGAUUCAGAUAUUAUAUUACUCAAAAAAUUAUCCAAUAGGAAAUUGUCCACCAAUAAUCUUAAAAAACAUUUUGGUUUAAAUUUUAUUUUCUUGUUUGAACAAAAAAAAUCUUUUUUUUUCUCUGUCUUUUUUUCUUUACCUAAUAAAUUGUUUUUUUUAAAAAAAAUAUCUUAUCUUGAUUCUUGUCUUAGUCAUAGUUCCAAUAAACUUGAUACCAUAUAAAAGAGGUUUCAAUAAAGUGAUCAUCUUUAAUUCAUUUUUUUUCUUUUUUGAUAUUUAAUGUAAUCAAUUCAAAUGGACACGAUUCCCUUAUUUAUGCGUGCAUGACCAAAUAGAAGAGAUAUAUUUAAUUAAUUAUUAAAUCAUCCUCAAAAGAAAAAAAAUGAAUUAAAGAUGAUCACUUUAUUGAAACCUCUUUUAUAUGGUAUCAAGUUUAUUGGAACUAUGACUAAGACAAGAAUCAAGAUANUGUAAUCAAUUCAAAUGGACACGAUUCCCUUAUUUAUGCGUGCAUGACCAAAUAGAAGAGAUAUAUUUAAUUAAUUAUUAAAUCAUCCUCAAAAGUUUUAAUUUAAUUUAUCCUCAAGAUUUUAGUAAUUUUCCUUUCAAAUUAAAUGGCAGGUUCAUGAUUUCUAAUUUAAAAAUCCAAGCUAGAAAAAAAAAAAAGACUUUUUGAAAUUUACUAGGAGUUAAAGUUCUUUUACACAAAUAAACCAAAUGAAGACAACAUUUGUAAUUGACAAAAUACAAUAUGAUUUAUUGGCUUAAUUUAUUAAAAAAAAGGUGUCAGAGAUUAAUUACUAUGACCCAAGAUUGUUUUUUCUGGAAUGAUCUUGGAUUAUUACUAUUUAUGUUCUGUAUAUAUAUUUUUUUCUUAGAAAACUCAGAAUUUAUAGAGGGAGUACGUUUAAUAAUUUUAAGGCCCCUUUGGUCUUGGGAUUAUCUAACAUUAUUGGGCGAAAAGGAGUUGGAGAAAAAAUAUAUAGAGAUAUGCUUGUGUUUUUCGGUGGAACUCCAGAAAGUAUAUCGUAAUCGAAUCGGUACGAUUUGUGUAAUGUAAUAUUUUUUUUACAAAAAUAAUUAAUUUUUUUUUGUUAUUAUACUUUUUUUACUAUAGAUAACGUAUCUGUCUGUAAUUCCAAACGAAGUUUUAGAAGGUGAAGGUCAUUGAUCCAAAAAGCCUAAGCUCAUGUAACUAUCUCAAAAUUCUCUCCCUCCCUCUCUCUCUCUCUCUCUCUCUCUCACACACACACACACACACACAACUGCUACUUUACACAUUAUGUUGCUAAUGACUAGUGAGACAUGAAAGUUUGAGGGUGAAUCCUUUGAAAAGUAAAUAAAGUGAAGCACACAACUCAUGCAUUAUCAAUCCAUAUUAUCUCUACAUGCAUCCUCAAAAUUCUCUCUCUCUCUCUCUUACACACACACACACACAUCACACACACACACAAAUGCUACUUUACACAUAAUGUUGUUAAUGACUAAUGAGACAUGAAUGUUUUAGGAUGAAUCCUUUGAAAAGCAAAAGAAGUGAAGCACACAACUCAUGCAUUAUCAAUCCAAAAUUCCCUCCCCUCUUUUCCAGGUGGGGGAGGCACAUGCAUGUGUAAAGGACUACACUUUUUCUCUUCAACCCCACCCCCCACCACCACCCCCCACCACUUGGUUUCUCUCAAAUCAAAACAUCUCCAUUUUGGUGCACCUCUCAUCUUGUUGAAGAAGCCANCCUCUAGAAUAUCCCUGAAUACAUACAAAUAUAAAUUUACAAUUGUUCUAUCUUGUACCAGAAUAUCCCCUGUUCUCGGUAACAAUAAAAGUUGUUAUUUAAAAUUUAGUUUUCCAACCAAACACAGCCGUAAGUUAUCGCUAAAAGUAUGCUUUGGUGUUAUAAGUCCAGUUGUCUUUCAUGCUCUUGUGGGAAAUUUUAUGGAUAUCAAACAGCUUAUGUUUUCUAGGCUAAAUUAUAAAAAGCCCCUUAAAUUAAACCACUUAUCUUAAUUAUCCUCAUGCAUAAAAAGGUACAUCCAUUAUCUCUCUACAUUUUGACAUUUUUUUUUGAGAAUAGGUAGCACGCUACCUACUUCAUUCAUUGAAGAUAUGAAUUAGGCUACAGGGGUGAGACAGCCAGGACCUCGAGGAAAAACGAACCGCAUAAAAAAAAUAAAUAAAAAAAUCAAAGGAGGUCUUUCCAAAAAUCAAUCAGCUGCUUGAGCCUUCCCACCACUAAAACAGGAUCAUCUUUAUACCACGAAAGAUAAGGUUGUUCCUGGCCUUCUAUAAUCUUAAAUAAAUCCGCCUAUUCGGAAUAAUUGUUGAAUUCAACUAUAAAACUUUAUAAAAGCACAUUUGCAGAUAAAAUUAUGUGCAAGUAAUGCAAAAGAAUCAUAAAAAUUGAAUAAAUUGCUAGAUAAACUAUCAUUUUUGAUAGUAUUAGAAAAAUAGAGGAUCUCAUUUAUCUAAAUUUUUAUAUUUUUUUUUGAGUUGCAAGUUGGGUAUUUACUGAGAUGUGAAACAAUAUGAUAUGCUAACUCGUUUUAGUUAAGUUUUACAGCUUAAUUUGUUAGUUCUUUAAUUUUUUGGAUCUAUUUGAGAUGAAGACGAAACAUAGGAUGGUAAUUAGUACAAUUUUUAAUACAAGAGGAUAAUUGAGGCUGAGGUUAUAACGCACAAAUUUUUUUUUGUAAAAUUUAGUUUUUUUUACCACAUCUUUUAGUGCAGCAUAAAAUGCUAUUCUGAAAAUCAGACCAAAUAUACACAAAGUAACAGUUCACAUUUUCUAGAAGAAUUUAAAUGUAAAUGCUCUUUUAUGUUUUUAUUAGAUACAACAUAAUAUGCCCAAUUUUGCAUUUUUUAUGUCAUCCAAAGGCAAAGCAAGGAGCAUCAUUCAACACAGCCAAGAUAUGUUUGAUAGUGGAGCUGAAAAACCCAAAAAAGGAAAAAAAGAAAAAGAAAAGAAGAGAGAGGAUGAAAAAACAAAAAAUAAAAAGAAAUAAAGAAAAGGACAUGCAUGACUUGAUUCCUUGGGAGGUGGAAACUGUGGCCACCAAUCUCAUGCUGCCCCCUCUUUUGUCCUCACAUUGCUGAAAUUUUAUGCAGCCCCAUCACUUCCCAAGAGAGCAGUCUUCACCAAACACCCCUCCCCCACCUCCCCUCCCUCCCUCCCUGCUUUUCUUUCUUUGGGCUUCUCUACCUUUCUCCUACUGCUUUUUUGGCUUUACCACUACUUUUUAUUUACUCAGCUUCAACUUUUCCCUUCUCCUCUUAACUCUAACUCUCUCUCUUUCUACAUUACUCUCUCCUCCACCUCUCUUUUGCCCCUUCUCCCUCUCUCUCUCUCUCUCUCCAUUCUUUGCAGUAAUGCUCCCUCCUCCACCUCCAUCUCUUGAAGAGGAGAUUACUUAGAAAGAAAUAACUUCAAUGGCUACAAGGGUUAUUAGGGCUCAUCAUGGCCUCCUCCUCCUCUUCUCUCUCCUCCUAUCCCUUCAGUCUGCUUGCUCUUCAGGUCAGUACAUCACUCAUUCUCCUCUCCCUUCCUUUCCCUUUCUUUCUGUUGCAUUUUUUUUUUCUCUUAUUGAGCUACAAACAACAACAACAACAAAAGACAAGAAGAGACAAAGAAAGAGAGUUUCUCAUUUACUCCUCUUUGAUAGCUACUUUAAGAUUGGCAUAAACCACUUUCCCCUUCUGAUAUACCACAACUGUUUCAAAAUCUCAGUUUCAUUUUUCAUUUUCUUCUUUCUUUGGUGUUUCCAGGAGCCUUUGUGGGAUUUUCAUAUGAUGCAAGGGAAGAGAGGCCUCAAUCUUCUUCACCUUCACCCACAGAAGCACNCUCUUCAACCCCACCCCCCACCACCACCCCCCACCACUUGGUUUCUCUCAAAUCAAAACAUCUCCAUUUUGGUGCACCUCUCAUCUUGUUGAAGAAGCCACAAAUGUGUAAUCCUCUUUUUUUUUUUUAAUAUGUUUUUUACAUAUUUUUUAUUGGACAUUUCAUGUUGUUUGUGAAAUCCUACAACUAAAGAAAAAAGAUCAUUAAUUUAAACACUAUUCUUUCCAUAACAAAAUAUUUCAUGUGCUAAAUUUUACUUGUAUUGCGAAUCGCAUAAAAAUCCGAUCUACGUUCCUAUCGAUAGAAAAUGUGGGAGAUUUUUGCAAGCUAAAUCAUGAUUUCGAGAAUUUUUGCAGAAAUACUGUUUGAGCAUAACUCGUCUAGAAGUCUUUACUAAUUUUCAUUUAUUUUUGUUAGCUUCGGGAGCUAGAAGUGUAAGUUAUCGCUAAAAGUAUGGAUAUAAAACGAAUUGGGCUGAAAUACCAUUAAUAGUAUUCGGCUUUUUUUGCUAUUAAGUUUUUAACCAUUGGAUGAAAAAUUAUAGGGUUUAGUAGUGGUCCCCCCUAGGGUUGAGUGAGUGGUUAGUUGAAUAGUAUGAUCUAAAAGAUAAGACUAAUUAAAGUGUAGAUCUAACGAUUAAAAAAUCGAUAGCAAAAGAGCCCAAAUACUAUUAAUAAUAUUCUAGUUCAACUUGAUAUCAAGCAGCCUAUUCUUUUUAGGGGCUAAAUUAUAAAAAGCCCUCUCGAAAUCUACCACUUAUCUUAAAAUUCCUCAUGCAUAAAAAAUUACAUCAAUUAUCUCUAUACAUUUUGUCGUUAUCUUAAAUAAAUCCACCUAUUUGGAAUAAUUGUUGAAUUUAACUAUAAAACUUUAUAAAAGUACAUUUGCAGAUAAAAUUAUGUGUAAGUAAUGCAAAAGAAUCAUAAAAGUUGAAUAAAUUGCUAGAUAAACUAUCAUUUUUUAUAGUAUUAGAAAAAUAGAGGAUCUCAUUUAUCUAAAUUUUUUUUUUUUUUUUUUGAGUUGCAAGUUGGAUAUUUACUGAGAUGUGAAACAAUAUGAUAUGCUAACUCGUUUUAGUUAAGUUUUACAGCUUAAUUUGUUAGUUCUUUAAUUUUUUGGAUCUAUUUGAGAUGAAGACGAAAUAUAGGAUGGUAAUUAGUACAAUUUUUAAUACAAGAGGAUAAUUGAGGCUGAGGUUAUAACGCACAAAAUUUUUUUUGUAAAAUUUAGUUUUUUUUACCACAUCUUUUAGUGCAGCAUAAAAUGCUAUUCUGAAAAUCAGACCAAAUAUACACAAAGUAACAGUUCACAUACACAAAGUAACAGUUCACAUUUUCUAGAAGAAUUUAAAUGUAAAUGCUCUUUUAUGUUUUUAUUAGAUACAACAUAAUAUGCCCAAUUUUGCAUUUUUUAUGUCAUCCAAAGGCAAAGCAAGGAGCAUCAUUCAACACAGCCAAGAUAUAUUUGAUAGUGGAGCUGAAAAACCCAAAAAAGGAAAAAAAGAAAAAGAAAAGAAAAGAGAGGAUGAAAAAACAAAAAAUAAAAAGAAAAAAAGAAAAGGACAUGCAUGACUUGAUUCCUUGGGAGGUGGAAACUGUGGCCACCAAUCUCAUGCUGCCCCCUCUUUUGUCCUCACAUUGCUGAAAUUUUAUGCAACCCCAUCACUUCCCAAGAGCAGUCUUCAGUCUUCACCAAACACCCCUCCCCCACCUCCCCUCCCUCCCUCCCUGCUUUUCUUUCUUUGGGCUUCUUCUCUACCUUUCCCCUACUGCUUUUUUGGCUUUACCACUACUUUUUAUUUACUCAGCUUCAACUUUUUCCUUCUCCUCUUAACUCUAACUCUCUCUCUUUCUACAUUACUCUCUCCUCCUCCUCUCUUUUGCCCCUUCUGUCUCUCUCUCUCUCUCUCUCUCUCUCUCUCUCUCUCUCCAGUAAUGCUCCCUCCUCCACCUCCAUCUCUUGAGGAGGAGAUUACUUAGAAAGAAAUAACUUCAAUGGCUACAAGGGUUAUUAGGGCUGAUCAUGGCCUGCUCCUCCUCUUCUCUCUCCUCCUAUCCCUUCAGUCUGCUUGCUCUUCAGGUCAGUACAUCACUCAUUCUCCUCUCCCUUCCUUUCCCUUUCUUUCUGUUGCAUUUUUUUUUUCUCUUAUUGAGCUACAAACAACAACAACAACAACAAAAGACAAGAAGAGACAAAGAAAGAGAGUUUCUCAUUUACUCCUCUUUGAUAGCUACUUUAAGAUUGGCAUAAACCACUUUCCCCUUCUGAUAUACCACAACUGUUUCAGAAUCUCAGUUUCAUUUUUCAUUUUCUUCUUUCUUUGGUGUUUCCAGGAGCCUUUGUGGGAUUUUCAUAUGAUGCAAGGGAAGAGAGCCCUCAAUCUUCUUCACCUUCACCCACAGAAGCACUAUCUUUCCUCCACAAGAACAGACUCUCCCCUGCUCAGUACAGAAUCUUCCUCACAAACCCACAACCCUUCUUACAUCCACUGUCCAAAUCUGCUGUCCCUGUUGAUCUGUUUCUGAAACAGUUUGACACUCAAAAACCAUCAGAAGCAAAUGCUUUAGCUUCCUCAUGGCUAGCAACCCACCUCAUAAGCACUCUCCCCUAUCUUAACAUCACCAACAUCAUAGUAAUCCCCAAUGAGAGGGCCCUCCCUUCACUCCUCCACACCCUGAACUCACUCUACUCCUCCCUCAAAGCCUUCGGCCUCGACCGGGCCGUAAAAAUCUCAGCGAUGUUCUCCCUCUCCACCCUCGAAACCGUUGGGAAAACUCGGAACAAGGAUUUUCGGAGAGCCGUGGAAUUUGUAAAGAAGAAUUCGGGGUCGUUUGUGCUGAUAGAGACCUUCGUGGAUGGACAACUGAGCUUAUCUGAUGGGUUUGUUCAAUCCACUGCACAAAGGGCCAUAACUGCUUUGAGUGCUCUAUCCAACUUAGAAGACACCAUUCCCUUAGUUUUCAAUGUGAAGAGCUAUGUUUCCCCAAGUGAAGUAGAAGUAGCUCAAUUCAGCGAAAAAAUGAAAAGGUCUUUAGAUAUGUAUCCUGUCAUAAACAAAAGGGUUUGGGGUUUUUAUGUGGAUGUAUCUCAUGUGGGGGAAACUCGGAAGGAAAUACUAAAUUGGGAGGAGCAACUGAUUUUCCCUUCUUCUCAUAGAGAGCUGCUGCUUCUUGACCAUGAAAAGAGUACGACGGUCCGCGACACUUAUGCUCCGAUAACAAACCCCGUCACCACCACGCCCAUCACUGUCCCUUCCACGAACCCAUCGCCGGGGAUAGUGACCGUCCCUUCGACCAAUCCUGUCACUGUUCUUCCCACUAACCCUUCCACGACACCUAUCACAAUCCCUCCCACGAAUAAUCCGAUGCCGAUGCCGACACCGACACCUGCAACCACUCCAGUGCCAGUCACAAACCCUUACCCUACGCCGAUGACCACUCCCAUCGUGCCCGUCACGAAUCCAGCGACGACUCCAACGAUGGUUCCUGUGACCAAUCCUGUUACGACUUAUCCUUAUACGCCGCCAGGGGUUUACACGCCGACUUAUCCAUAUGCGCCGGCCGGGGGUUACGUGCCGUCCGUAACGCCGCCUGUCACUGUGCCGAGCACCAUGCCGGUUACACCUGCAGUAGCAGGUCAGACUUGGUGCGUGGCGAAGACCGGUGUGCCGGAUUCGGCACUCCAAUUGGCACUGGAUUAUGCCUGUGGGAUUGGGGGUGCGGAUUGCUCGGCGAUCCAACCGAUGGGCAGCUGCUACAACCCCAACACGCUUCAGGCUCAUGCAUCAUACGCAUUCAAUAACUACUAUCAGAGGAAUCCUUCACCAACAAGUUGCGAUUUUGGAGGGACGGGGAUGAUCGUCAAUGUUAAUCCAAGUAAGAAAACACUUGCAAUUUGAGCAUCCUUUCUUGAGUAUGAAACCGAAGCUUUUGCAGAAGUGUUGUCACGUACAACUGUUCGAAGAAGCAAUAAUAGCUUUUCCAUUGAUAUCCUCCCCAACAGCUGUAGCAGAAGCCGGAGCUUUAAACUAUAGCUGCUGCUUUUGGGUUUGAAAAACUCAUUUCAAUUUCGAGGUAGAAAAAAAAAAUUUAGGGUUUUUUGCUAAGAAAUUGAUCUCUGGAACUUUUUGCAGGCUCAGGGACAUGCAUUUAUCCAACUUCAAGGUAAACACUGCUAUGAAAAAGCAAUAUCAUAUACUAUAAAUGCUGUCUAUUCAACAUGCAUAACAUGACCUUCCUCACCUCUUGCAUUCGCAGCGGGGUCUCUGGCUAUAAUCCUACAGCCACUACUCCUGGUUUUACUCCUGCUUCAAGUUAUGGUUCGACUCCUGGUACAAGUUCUGGUUCGACUCCUGGUACAAGUUCUGGUUCGUCGGUGUUGAACACUAACAACUCGGGCUCGAGCACAGUAUACGGGUCGGACAACCCAACAGGCGCCGGCAGCAACUCAUUGUCUCGCUACGCUGGUUGGACCUCCUUAUAUUUUGUGAUCACCUUAGCCUAUAUCAGAGGUAGGCUCUAAGUUAGAGUGUGAGCUAAUUCAGGUGCCGAAAACGGAAUGAUGGGUAGAUUGAGAACAGCUUCCUAGUGCUAGUUCUAUGAUAGUUAGAGUAAUAUUCAUAUACAAUGAGUUGUAAAGAACAAAUUUGAUGUGUAUAUGGACUAAGUAGAUGAGUAGAGCUUGAGAGUGCCUCUCUUGUAGAACUUUGUUGAUGCUUCAUUUCGGAGAUGUAAAUCAGCUUUAUGAAAAGGUGAAAAAAACAAAAUAUUUAUGGAUGCACAGAGAAAUGAAGUGUAACAAUGGUACCUGUCAACCUGAAGAAGGAUGCUAGUUCCGAUCAGAAGAGUUAUCUCCAUUGCCAAUUGCCAUGGCUGCUGUUAGUAUUUGUCAUCCCCGUCUCUUGUUUGUGGUUCUGUUUCUGUACAUCUUCUGGACCAUAAACACUAACAGAUCACUUUGGACAAUCACUUCUAUAGAUAUGAGAACACAGAUACCAUUGCCCUACUGGCUUUUCUUCGAGAGAAAAGAAAGAAAACAAAACAGAAAAAAUAAUAAUCAAUGCAAACUCAAGCACCAGGUGUCUGCCAAUUCUUGUUAUCUCUUCACAACCAGUUUAAACUGUAUUCAGAUAUACAAGCUUGAAUCACAAUGUAGAGGAAAAGUAAGAUAAAAUUCUAAUACAUCUUCAAUAUAGAUAGAUAAAUUUGUACUGUGAAUUAUACUAGCUCGAUUACCGUGGGAUGCAACCAAUUAGACUGCAUGAUUCCACCAUGUAAUAAAGUAACAAAUAUUUGGAGAACCUAAAGAUCAUACAAGAUGAGAUUUAGAAGGAAUGAAUUAGCACAAUAUUACCUUUACAUAAUGCAUGGUAUUAUAUGGUUGACAUUUCGUGCCCUUUAUAAAAGGAAGAAUUGUUUCAACUAGUAAAAGUAAAACCUUUCAUUUGAGGGCACAAGAGCUAGACAGAGAAUACAUAUUGAGGAAUUUGUUAUGGAUGUUCGAUACUAAAUUUCCAAAAUCUAUACAUGUUUUAUUCCGUGGGUACAACGCAGUCGAAAUUAUAUCUACAUGAGCGACCAAAUAUGUUUACCACUAAUCUGAAAUAUAAUACGAGAGAUUACAACAGCGGGAUGCUUUAAUAUACAGAACAAUAAGAUCUAAUAAAGAAGAGAUGAUUAUGAAACCAUUACUUUUCUAAUAGAAGAUCUAUUAUGAUAAACUUCAUCUAAUCACUGAGAUCAUCAUCGAGAAAGUUAAGAUCACCACCAUCUUCGUCACUAGCAGUAGCCAUAGAAGCAGGAUGAACCUCUAAGGACUCGACUACUUCAGGCAAAGGUAUACUGCUUGUAUGAGGUUUCCUUGACGUUGCAUCUAAAUGCAUAUUCUCGUUUACUUCCUUUAAGUAGGGCUCUUGUUCCGUUUCAUUAUAAAGAGUCUCCUACAUUCACAACAGGCAAUCCGAUCAAUCGAUAUAACAAAAACAAGUGAAUCGAAUUAAAGAAUAAAGAUACUUCUACAUGUAUAUAACUGCAAAAUCAUACAUCUAUGUACAUAUUCUUGUAAAAUAUCAAUUUUCAUAUAUGUUCCUUGAAACUGCAGUUGUUUACAACAAUAUCCUUAUCUUACGUUGAGAAGUCUCCAAAUUAAUGGGCGAAAGUUGGUUUUUUUUAAUUAGCAUUUUUGUAUAUUUUUAAGAGAGGCAUUUUUAACUAAACGCUAUAUGUGGAAGACAUUAAGUUUUUGGAGGGUUUGCAGUUAUAUACAUUAAAAAAUAUACCUCGCCUCCUGGAGAAGCUGCUUUGUCAAUCUCAACAACCCAGCUUUCCAACAAUCUCUCUAGUAGAGCAUUGUCAAGGGAAAUUGAACAAUCAUCUGUCCUGUUAAAUUGCCAUUCGCGAAGACGUAGGUUGUAAUGGGUGUAAGUAAGAUCCUUUAAUCUUUUUUGGGCUAUACGAUUGCGUCUAGUAGUGUGAAUUUGAUCAAAGGCACUCCAGUGGUGUUCGGAACCACGAGAUGUACAUGUCUGGCUCAAUAUGCGAAUAGCAAUUCGUUGCAACUCGAGGCAAUUGAUUCCAUGUUGUUGCCACCAGGCAGCUGUGAUUGAAAAAACAUAUCAAAAAAGAAAAAUUGAUGCCUGGUUUAGCAUUGCAAUCUAAAUUGUUGAAAGUUUGCAAUCCAUAUUAGUCAAAUAUGAUUACCUGGAUCCAGCUCCAUCCUUGUACUCAAAGCCAGAUCGGUUCCAAAAUCAGCUUUUGCAAAAACAAAAUCUGAAAUCUAAGAUAAAUAAGAUGACAAAUAGAGUGCAUUAAAAGAGGAAGAGAAAAGAAACCAAGGAAGCUUCUCGGCAAAAUGAAUAAUAAGAGCUGAACAAAGGAAAUCUCCCUACAGAAUAUCAUGAUUUUACAUUGUUCCCCUUGAAAUACUAAAACAUACAUUUUGCCCACUUUGACCUGUAAGCUAAGUGAUAGAUCUUGCCUCAGAGAACACUCACAGAGAGCAAAGGAGUGAAAUAUUGUAGUUUCGAGGGUAAUAUAUAUAGGUUUCAGCAUUCCACCCACGGGAGCUGGUUUGAAAAUUGGGAUAUUCAACUUAGCCAUUACUAAAUUUCACAAUUCAAACAAUGUGAGUACCUGGGAAGCAGCAGAAACUCUCCUUACAUUAUCCGAUUCAAGUCUAGUUAUGCAUUCAUUCAAGCCACGAAUAACCUCAGGAAGCUACAAAUUAGAUCAUGAAAAAUGAGAAUUAGGUGCAACAUCACACCAUAUCAAGAUGAAACAUUCACUUGAAAAAGAAAAAGGUAAAAGAAAAAGGUAACAUUCAAUGCUUUAAGCAUACCGCCAUGAAGUCUGGUCGAUAUCUAAAGGACGGGUUCAAGAAGUAAGCAGCAACAUACAGAGGAUGGUUGAAAACAGCAUUCCAAUGACUGUCUAUUACAACCAAGAAAGGCCCAUACUUUCUCUCAUCAUCGCCAUGGACAGCUUUAAUAGACAGCUUAGCUCGGUACAUGUCAUUGUAUAUCGACGGCAUGGACAACCCUUCAUUGCUUUCCGCUUUCUUAAGUAUCUGCAAAACCGGGUCUACAGUUUUUUUCACAUAUUGAAUCUUCUUCCAGAAUGUGGGAUUAACCACAAUCUUUUCUACUUCUUUGCCCGCAUCUGAUUUGGACAAUUGGGAUGAUACCCAUUUGCUCGAUUGGAACAGCUUCUUAAGAGAAGGCCUUUGAUCUAGCAAGCUUUGCAAUGUAAGAAAAGUAGUUGCAAACUUUGUUAUUGAUAGUUUAAAGAGAUCCUUCCCCUCUGUGAAUUCUUCUUUCAUAAGGUUUGCUAGCCACACGCAAUUAUAAAUGUAUCGCGUAAUCUUUUGACCUUUUUCGAUGCAUUCUCUGACCCAUUUUAUCUCAGCAAAAUCCCCGAGAAUUUGAUUGAUGCAAUCCGCAGCAGAAGGCAUCCAGAAUAAGCUUCUUCUCUUCUCCUCUAGCAUCUUUCCAGCAGCUCUAUAAUAUGAAGAAUUUUCUGUGAUUACCUACGAUACGGAAAACUGCCAUUAGAGAGACUACAACAUUCUCAGAAAAAACAACAAGAGGCUCGGACAAUUUUCCAACAAUUUUAUGAAGGGUAAUGUAUGAAUAGUCCUUGUAUUGUCCCGAUAGAGUGACUUGUUCCCUGAACCUUUAGUCUCUAAACUUUCUGAAAAAUUGCGAUUUCAUCUGACUAUUCUAAUAUUUACUUGAAUCAGGGUUAAAAAGGUCAUUUUAUAGAGCAUAAACAAUGGAUUUUUCCCUCCCCCCCCCCCCCCCCCCCACUCUUAACAGUCCGAUAUGGAGUUGCAAUAUAAGAGAAAGUUUGGGACUAAAGAAACAAGUCACAACAUCGAGAUUUGUGCUAGUGCAAUUAACCUUUUAUGAGUAGUCUACUUAAAAGAGUAGAUAGAUUAUGAAAAUAAAUCUGGUACCUGCACCACAUUUGCCUCACCUACUUCCUCCACAACUUUGUCCAACAACUUGAAAAGAUGUGUAGCAUCUUUUACAAUGCGAGACACAUCUAUGGAGGAAACGAAGUACGUUCCUCUCGGGCAAGACACUAAGAAGUUGAUUAUCGUCCUUCCCUGCACAUCUUUCCAGCUAUCCCCUAUAAUACUGCAUCCGGUAGUAGCCCACGAAGCCUUAAUUUCCCCAAAGUAUUCUUUUAUUGUUUCCACUUCAUCAUUAAGUGAUCUAUUAGCAAGUAGUUUGCUUAUUGGGCUUUUAAUUCCAUGACCAUGUUGAGCAACUAAAUCUAGCAUCUUGUGGAAGUAUGCUGAAUCUGCGACAUUAAAAGGUAUAGCUGCAUAACAAAAGAAUUUACAAAUAGCAGAAAUUACUUCUUUAUGGCCUUUCUUAUCAGCCCCUCCCUUUUGUUUUGAAUGCUUAAAGGACAAAGAAUAGUUCCCUUUCUGGGAAGUGGCAUAGAGAGAGUCUGUAGUUAUAUUUCUAGACUUUUUCUUCAUAGCAUUACCACAAGAAACAUCUUGAUCGCCUACAAAAUUAUUUGCAUUAUUUCUUCCACCAGCAACUUCCUCCUCGUCAUUUUCUGUAUGCACGUAAAAUGCCGAAACUUCUUUUGUUUCUAUCCUUCGCCUUCUACCCGUUCGAUGCCAUUUCAUAUUUUCUUUCAUCUUUAGAUACACUUCCUCAGGAGCCAUUUUACAAUAUGCGACUUCUCCGGGAAUUCUCGCUAAAUGUUGCUUAAACCGGUUUAUACCGCCGCUAACUAUUUUCUCGCAAUAAUUGCAUUUUACCUUCUUUUUCUUUUCGUCUUGAGCAACACCAUGUUCCCAACCGGGGUCCACAUACCCUAACGAGCGAAGCGGAGUUAUAACCGUAGCUAAGCUUUGAUCAUUCACUUCCUUUCUUAAUUUCCUUUUAUAGUGGAUAGAGUUUUCCACAUCAUCAUCAUCAUCAUCAUUGGAGUGGACAUCGAAAGUGGGUUCCUUUUCUUUCUCUUCUAACUGCCGUUUUCUUGUAGAUCUAUAUCCUUCGAGAUUUUCUUUCAUUUUAAUGUACACCUCUUCAGGGGCCCUUUUGCAAUAUGUGACUUCACCAGAAAUUCUUGCCAAAUGUUGCUUCAGUCUAUAUAUUCCACCACUUACUAUCUUGCCGCAGUAGUUGCAUUUUACUUUCUUCUUCCUCUCGUCUUGAGGAACACCAUGUUCCCAUCCAGGGUCCAUGAAACCUGUUGACCUAAGAGGAGUCAUCUCUUCAACCAUUUGAAACUUGAGACAGGAGCUUAUACUUUUCGCCUUUCCACCAAGCUUCUGCAAUAGCAGUAACGUAAAUUAUGAACAGCCAAGAGAUACUUAUCCUAACAUAUUUUGUAGCAUUUUCAAAUAGGUAAAGAUGUUUGGAGAGUCUCCCUCUUUUUUUUUUUUUUUGCUCGAUUGACACCCCCGAACCUUUCACUAUUAUUUGUUUUAAGUUAUUCCCAUCAAUUAAUAUGAGGAUUCCACUGGAUUUAAGAGAGACUCCAUUGAUUUUAACAGCGCUUAAUGUUUUUCAAUAUGACAGAACAGCAGGUUCUGUCAACAGUUUGACCAUUAAUAGCUAAUGGCGCGCUAAAUUUCAAUGGAAUCUCCAAUUCAAGUGACGGAAAUAACUCAAUAAACGAGCAUUAAUUGAGAGGGUGCUAAUCCAAAAGAAAUAAACUGGUAGGUAUAAUUCGAAAUGGACUGUAGGUUAGGGCGUCCUAGUACAAUUUUACAUAUCAAAUGUUCACCAACGCAAGUAUCUUUUCAACUUUUUAGAAUUAAUCUUUCUUACUUUAAUUUUUACCAUGAAGAAGAUUUUUCCCUAUGGAUAAUCUAGAAAAGAAAAUUUACCAACACCAGAAUAGAAAAGAGAGGUAAAUUUACCUUGUCUGGCUAAUGAUAAUCCUUCGUCACGAUUCUGCCCUCAACUCAUAGAGAAUUAUGAAAUACAAAAAUUGAUAUAUUCUUGUGCAAUUGACUGCAGUUCAAUUUGAUAUUAACACCACAAGACUUGUCUAUCACGGCCCUAUCUUGUUAGACAGAAACGUGAUCCUUGAACCUAUUUAAAUUGAAAUUACAUAAUCAGUUUUGGAAAGGAUUAAUCAAAAGGCAAAACAAAAGGAAAAUGAGGAAAUACGACAAUAUGCUUAGUAUGUGAUCUAACACGGCAAUUUCGGACCUCUUGCUUAUCAUACACAGAAACGAAAAGAAAAAGGUAAAAAAGAACAACAACAAAGUACAAAUUCCUAAAUCACAGUUACAAUUAUAAGGCAACCAUGUUCACUAUUGUUGAAGCAUAUGAAAACUAUGUGGAAAAAUCAUCAAUGUAACUGAUGAAGAGGGAAUAUAAAAACAUUUCACUGAUUUCCAUUUGUGCAAGGAAUACCCUAAAUCCUGAUAUUAAGAGAAACUUAACACCGACCGCCAAUAGAUGUUUUGACAACCAAAAAAAAGAGGUUAGCUUCAUGAUUUUUUCUUUUUUUUUUUUGUUUCGAGAUGAUCUUCAUUCAUUAGAGUACAAAGUUACACAACUUUGAUUAAAGAGUAGAAAUGUGCGAAAAUAAAAAUAAAAAAAUUUCUUAAAUUCCAAAUACUGGCGAAAUUUGAACUGAACAUAAUUCCAGCUGCACUAAGUCCAGUUACUCAGAUGAAUCUACAUUAUCAAAUUACUAACUGCAUGAACCCUAAUUUCUGAUGUAAUUAACCUUAAUACUCACAUUAAUCAGAAUAUCAAAUUCCUCUUUGCAAUAACUCUUAUCUCUAAUUUAACAAGCCACAAUGAUUUCAAAUGAAAGAAGCAUAGAAAGCCACUGAAAUUACAAGUCCAAAUCUCAAAUUCCUAAAUGGUGCUACAAAUCGAACAUGCAAGCUACCCAACUACAAAUAUCCAUUAUAUAAGCAGUUCAUGCGAAUAGAUUCCACAAUUCCAUCAAUAGUCGAUUCAAACCGUAAACCCUAACACCAGCUUUUCAUACGCAACCCUCACCCUUGGUUGUAGGGGAUCGAACCUUAAAUCGAGAUUUUUUACCUCCAAUUAACGCACAAUUACCACACUAACCGCGAUCGGGGAGCGGAAAGGAGGGAUCUGAGGAUUACCCGAGUGGGAGCUCGAUCUCAUCCUCUUCACCUUCCGUGUCGCCGAGUUGUGUUCUUCGUCCCCGGCCCCCAUUCAUUGCUCGCGCGUUGACUCGGAACGAGAUUUAGCGCCGAGUCGGGGCCGGGGAAAAGCCGACUCGGAUCGAACCGGACUCGGCCGGUUCGACUCGCAACCCGGACGGGUUCGGAAACGACUCGGAACGAGAUUAUUUUUCCCAUUUCGAUAGGUCAACGGUCAACGCUCAAAAAGUUAAGAGAGAUUUUCAAAAAGGGCCUAUUUUGCCUAGCUUUUUAAAAAAUAAUUUUUGUAAAAGUGAUUUUGGUUGGAAAAAUUAAUUUUGGUGAAACUGUUUGAAGAAACUUUACAGUUUUUAGCUUCUAUAGCAUUUGUUGAAAUAUAUAUAUAUAUAUAUAUAUACAUAUAUAUAUAUAUAUAUAUAUAUAUAUAUAUUUGUUUAUUUAUUUAUUUAUUUAUUUAUUUAUAUAUAGAGUGAGAUUACUAUGCUAUCGGAAGCACGGAGCCUUCCGUGCUUCCAGCUCGUUUUCGAUGUUGCGACUUUCGAAUCGUCGAUCGGCUCCGUUAAACUUGAUCUAGAGUAUUUGAAGUACCUAGAAAAUAAAUUUUAUGAUUUUACGAUAUCAUUUGCCUAGUGAACGAAGGGGCUCAAAAUCAACGGCUGAAAAUAAAAAUCUUACAAAAUGUAAUAAUAUGACAUUAAAAUUUUAAAUCAAAGAUAUUGAUCUUGUUUUAUAUAGUAUAAAGAAUUUUCUAUCAAAAUUUCACAUGAUUUGAAUAUUUCUAUACCGUUAAACUUGCAAACGGCUCACUACGGCCAUUAAAAUUUGUUGAUUUUGAGGUCAUUCGAUCACUAGGCAAAUGAUAUCGAAAAAUAAUAAAAUUUAUUUUCUAGGUACUCCAAAUACUCUAGAUCAAGUUUAACGGAGCCGAUCGACGAUUCGAAAGUCGCAACAUCGAAAACGAACUGGAAGCACGGAUAGCAUAGUAGCCUCACUCUAUAUAUAUUUAUAUAUAUAGUUAAAUUGACUCUUAGUUGUUGUCUUGUUAUUUUCAGACAUAUGAAUAAGUUGUCUAAUCAUUAAUUCAUAAGACGAAAAAUGAUGAAGUUAAGUUCACUGAGAAAUUAAAAUUCAGCGACUCAGAUUGAUAAAAUUAUAAUGUAAUUUACUCUCUUAUUUAUUUAUCUAUUUAUUUAGUUAAGUUUCGCUUCCUCUGUGAUUAAAAAGCUUUUAAACUUUAAUUUACUUAAAACAUUUUAUUUAUUUGAAUUUGAAUUAAGUUUAGUUUCCAGAUUCCUGAGAUUAAACCUGGACAGAACCAGAGAGUUUAGAUCUGACAAUGUAGUUUCUGAGAUCAAACCAGAGCAGACAAUGUACAGAUGACGAAUCGAAUCGGUGACAGAGCUCUAUUGAACCAUCUAAUUUCGAAACCAAUAUCAGGAUUAGACAUUCCCGAACUCGACGCAAUCAGAUUGAGUAGAAAAUAGACUUAUAUAAAAAAGAUGAUAAAUAUGGUAAGUGAUACUGUACAAAUCUUCGGCAAUGUAAUUGAUACAAAUGUGUAUCUACCUUGUAAUUAAGACUAAAAUUUCAAAAUUUCGCAAAAUAACUGAACAAUUCAGAAUUACGCUUUGUUGCCAAAAUGUUCGCUAAUAAGUACUUAACCUGUAAUGUAACUAAAGAAUACAAAGUAAUAAGAACAAAUAAAGACUCAUGAAAUCUUUCGAGCUAUAUUUUUCAUCCCGGAUCCGACGCAUUUUAGUAUAACUGUGUUCGUACUCGUAUCGGGCUUGAUGACAAACUUAACUCCGAGAAAAUCCCUGAUAUUUCUAAGCGUUUCUAUGCCGUAGGGUGUGAGCGCUCCCACGCGAACCUUUGAUACAUCCGGCGGGCAUAGAGCACAAAGAAGAAAUAACAAGCCCUGAAAGAAAAAAAAAAAAAAUAUUGUUGUUAAAGAAAAUUAGUUGUUCACAAAUUAACCAGUUCACACCAAACUGGCCACCAAAUUUAUUCCCAAUUAGUCUCCCAAGAAGAUGAUUUAGCUGAAAAUAGUUUAGAGCAAAAAAUGUCGCCAUUCUCUCAAAAAGCUUCCUUGUCAAUGCAGGUGUUUCUGCAGCAUAUUAGAGUUAAAUUUGCAUCAAUUUGAAAUUAACCAAGUGAAAAGUAAAGAGGUUGGAAAGUGAAAUCAGACCUGGUGGGUAGAAUCAACUACUCCUCCCUGCUUGAUCUCUCCAAGCAAGAUAGAAGCAACUUCAAUACCAAUAUCCUCCGGAGUUUUAACUUCCGGCUUCUCCUCAGUGUCUUCAUCCAUUUCAUCCGCUUUUUCAGUACUUGCAAUAUCCGCGGAUAUCAAACAACCUGUAGUAGUCUCCGCAACCAAAGACAUGCCAUAUCCCGGUGACCUGCCGUAUCAUUCAGCUACUAGUUAGAUAAGAAGCCGAGACAUACCGUUGUAGCUAGAGCUUCCACUAAGGCUAUUUCGAAAUUGUUGGCAUAGCAAAAGUUCUAGUAUUUUCGCUAGACAAAAGCCUAAAAGAUGCCUCUCGGAGUCCAGAAGCAGUUUCGUAAGCCAAAGCAAACGACUAACAGAUGAGUCUUGGAGUCAAGCAAAUCAGAUGGUUUAACUCACAUGAAAUAAAUAAUACGCCCCGAAGGACAAAAGCAUAAUCUAUUCAUGAUGUUCUCUAAUAAAGCACUAGAUAAGACGAUAAAAAACAUAAAUCUGUACAAUUCCACAAUCUCAAGUACUAUUGUGACAUGUCGAAAACACCCAUAUUUUUUUUGGAUGAAAGAAAAAAAUCAAUUCAGGCGUCAGAUAUUACAUCCCUUGCUUGCUUGUGAAACAAAGACCUCAAACAACCAUUUGAUUUAGAGUUAAUACUUUAUUAUUUUCACAAAAUCAAGCACAAGGAUACACACAUAUAUAAGUUCAAAAAUUGAAUCCGAGAUUCUUUUUGUUUGUUAGGAAAGAAAAGCUAAUAUAAGAAGAAGAUAAAUAGCUAGUUAGAGUACCUUCCCCCAGCCGGACCAGAUCUAUGAUCGGUGAAGAUAUGAACAUCCGGUAUGAAGUUAUUGAAGACUCCACGUACAGCAUACACCAUACGAUUUCCAAUCUGAGGAGACACUCUCGUGGAGAAUGUUAUCCCUCUAAUUCUCUUAACCAUCCCUUCGUCCACCCAAUGCGUUGCCUGAUUGGCACAUUAGAUACUUUAAGUAAAAUCUUUUGGGAAAAGGUAAAUGAAAUAACUAUCAACAUGCCAUUUACACCCACCGUUAAUGUAUUAGGGAUGAUAGGAACUCGAAGAAGGACCUCUCCGCCGCCAAGAGGAGGAGCACCACGACUUUCUAUUUUCAGCUCCAGCCCUUCUAAAGGAACACCAAAGCGCCUAAGCAUAUGCAACGUGGUAGUCCGAAAGGUAUCGACAGACGGGUCCUUGGAAUCAUUAGUAAUUCCUGACGAGCGAAGCAUCAAAGUGGUGAUUCACAUGCAACGAGAAAAGCAAAGUCAAUUUGGAUUUUGUAUUGCAACACUUAUCUAUUUUAUGAACUAAAACUCGGCAGUAUUGAAUGGCUGAAUACUACCGAUUAAAGUAACAUGGAGAUCUACCAAAGUCAAUCUAUUUUUAAACCGUUCAAUCGCUCUUUUCUUUGUUCUCACUAAGCCUACUUAAUAGGAGAAACUUAAAUAAGAUUACUGUCGACAAGCGAAUUUGAAAUCUACCCUAUGAUGUCAAACGCCAAAUUUUAUGCUGGCCCGAUUCUCUGCACAAGAACAAUUACAAUCAAAUUGACCAAAGAAAAAAGGGGAAAAAGCAAAAUUUUACUCCCGAAAUUCCCUUUUUCCCUCCCUUCUCAUAAGUUUAAUUAAGCAACACAAAUAAAAAAAAAAAGACGAAUUAAAAGGAGAGAGGAAGAGAUAGAUCAAACCUUUGAGCCUAAUAGAGAGGGGCUUCUUCCCGAAAAGCCCCAAAAGUAUCAGCGGCUCGAGGAAGUACCCGAUCGAGCGGCUCAAACCGCAAUCGUGCACGAGAUUCUUUCCCCCGAUCAAAACUCCGGGCUUGUAUAGCAACUCCGUCCCUAAAUCGCCCCAAAAAAACACACCAAAACAAAAACGAAUCAAAGCUAGGGUUUUUGUUCAAAAUCGAGAAUCGAGAGGAAGGGAGAUGGGGGGAUCGAUCAGGAUUAUUACCGCUUUCGCCGAACUCGAUCAAGGAGUGGUCCGUGAUCUUCUCGAGGAGGCGGAAGAGGGAGACCUCGUGGGGUCGCAGCCCCGGGAAGGUGUCGUCGGAGUGGAUCUCCUUCACCACGAUCGGCGUCGCCGUGAGAGUCGCCAGCACCAGCCGCUGCCGAAGGUGGCGGCUCCCCCUCAACCUCAUGUACGUCGUCUUCCCCAUCCCUACCUCUCUCUCUCGAUCUCCGCGGCGGUGGUCGUAAAACCCUAAUGGAGAGACGUUCUACAGUGGAACUAGGGUUUUAGAAUUGCUCUGGCCCCAAUCCUAUGCAUUUAAAUAGCCGGUUUGAAGCCGCCAAAUCUUAUCUAAUAGAUUGAAUGAUAAACCGGUUCUCUAUUCUAAAGAGGGCUCGGGUUGAUUCGUUAACUAAUCAAAAACCCGUUAAUAUUUUUAAAAUUAAUUUUUCAAAAUUAUUUAAUAAGGCACUCAUAAUUUCCUAUUUGGUUUUAUAUUUCAUAAAAAAAAUAUAAAUUUUAAGUGCUACGAUUGCUCUCUUAUAUACAAAUUUCCUAUUUGAUUUUAUAUUUCAUAAAAAAAAUAUAAAUUUUAAGUGCUACAAUUGCUCUCUUAUAUACAGUAUAUAGGGGGCACGUUUGGUUCGAAGUCGAAAUCGGAAUUAGAAUUAGAAUCUAAAUCGAAAUCGAAAUAAAUUAGAAUCAGAAUCGGAAUGACUCAUUAUUUAAUUCUAUUUGGUUCGUCAGCUGCAUCGAAAUCGAAAUAAAUUAUUUUUAUUAUCGAUGUUUUAUUCAUAGAUAUAAAAUAUACUAAUUUUAUCUUUAUAAUAUAUUAAUUUAAAUUCAAAUUAAAAAUUAAAUAUUAAAAAUUUAUAUCAAAAUUUUGAAAUAAUAUCAAAAUUUUAAAUCUACUUUUUUAAAAAAAAUAAAUUAAAUU